rnacentral:lncRNA from 1 species
ACUGUUUGAAAUAUCUUUUGACUAACUUCAAUAAGAUUGAUUGUUGAAAAGUGAUUGAUUUUAGAAAAAGAUUUGUGUGAAACAAAUUUUGACGACUUAGUAGGUAUUUUAACUAAGUCUAAACAAAUGAAAGGAAAAUAAGCACAUAAAAGGGGAAUGAAAUAAAAUAAAAGACUUAAGUUAUUGGGCCCAAAUCAACGAAACUUGUCCUAAUCUAAUUGGGUUUUCGAUGUAUUUUCACCUGUCCUAAUUCUAUAUAUUCGAGCCAUUUUAGCCCAAAAUCUGCUUCACCUAUAUUAAAUUUACAACUUUGGCUUCAAGGCCCAAAUUAAUGAAUAAUGAAAUAAAGAAAUAAGACACCAAAUAAAUAAAUACAUGAGACAACUAUGAAUAAAUAAAUAAACAAAAAGAGACUUUCUAGUUUCUUUGCCUCUUCAAAGAUGGGACUUUAAUCCACUCUCCUUCUUUCGAUUUCUGUAUCCAUUUGCCAUGAGAUCAAUGUUUGGGCUUUUUCUCUAGGAAUUGACUCGGGGUCAAAUGGGCCUCAAUGACCCACAACAGGCAUGGAAAUGAAAAAAAAGAGUCCAAAUAGGACUCGGGCAUGUCCAUAUGCGAAAGAAAAAUAAAGUAAUUAAUAGAUAUCCAUAGAUCAGUACUUUAACGGUAUCGUUAUAAGGGAAUUUUUCGCGCAUAAGGACAAUAGUAAGUCAUGAUAUGAAGAGAGACAACUUAUGCAAUAAAAGGCAAUUGACCUAUAUCUUAAACAAGCUCAAGAAUUAAAUCGAACGCAGUAUGAUUAACUAAUUCAAACAAGUUGAACGCAGUGUGAUUAGAUAAUUCUUGAGGGGAGGAACAUGAUGUUUAGAACAAUAAGAGAAGAACAAUCAUAACAAUAGUAACAAUAACAGGAGAAAGGAAAAUAAAUUUAUUUGGGAUCAGGUCUAGUCCUUUUAAAUUUAUGGUAGAAUUUAUCGUUUCUCUUUGGAAAAAAGAUCAAACACAAUGGGCAAGCAUGUGGAGAAAAGCCCUGCGUAGACCUUUUGUUCACAACUACAAAUACCCAGUUUAUAUUCCUUUCUCCAACCUUCAAAUUUCUCCUAAAAAGAAAUUCUCAACCAACUUCUACAAAUCCAUCUAAACCUCAUCAGUAAAUCUCUUUAACCUUAAACACCAAAAUACAAAUCAAAUCUCAAAACCAUACUUUAAGGUUCCAUCAAAAGUAAAAAAACAGGUGAAUCUUGGAAAUCAUUCAGGGUUCUUUCAAAUUACUCAUCUUUACCUAGUGUCACCACGUGCCAAAAAUUAUGUAAAACAAAAUUCACAUAACCAUGACCUUAACAAUAUAAAGCAAACAAAUAUUCUGCCUAAAGUUAAUAUUAUUGCUAUACCCUUCUUUUCUUGCUCUAUGAAACUAUAAGCUACGAGCAUCAUUAAAUUGAUAAAUACAUAUUUUUAAUGACUAGUUUACCAUUUGAUCAAAGGGCUCUGUAAACUAUGUUCAAGUCAUACAAAGAUCGAUUUAAUCAAAAUCCUAAAGACAAACUAAAAAAAAUAUCUUGAAAUUCAACUAAUAAUUGAUUCAUCUUCGCCUUUUCUCGACAAGUUCUGGGAACUUUGAGUCGACGUGUCUCCUUAAAGGGUCAAGAGAUGAUAUGAAACCAAUAUAACAUAUCCUUUGUCUCUUUUUUGACAUUUUUUUGUCAAAAAAGUUUUAGGAAAGUUCCCAAUUGACCAUGAAAAUCCAAAGAUAAAUUUGAAACAAAGCAUGGGAGAAGCGAACCACUAAUAACAUUGAACUGCGAACCACUAAUAACAUUGAACUCAAGUCACAAGCAGAAACUAAAAAUAGUUAAUAUUCAACCAAAUAACUAACAAGUAAGACCGUCAUGCUCAAAAUAAAAGCAAUAUGCUGCUAACUUAGCAAAAUUGAUGUUUGCAGGGAUUUCAAAGGUGAAUCCAUAACAAAAUUAUGAUUUUUAGAGUUUGGAAGAAAAUUAUGAGUUGGACCUUCAAACAAAACAAAUACAAAACCAUAGUCUUAAAUCUCGCAACGAAGAAAAUUUAAAUCACUACAAUGAAUCAAAUGAAAGAAGACAAAACAAAUUGUUCACAAUAUAUUCUAAGAGGAACCUUAAUAGCUAACCAACAAUUAUUAACACAGACAGUGAGUUCAAAACUACAAAAUCAAAAUAUCCAAAAUCGAUGAUGGAGCAAACACUGCAGUAUGCACAUUGAUUCAGCAAAACAACAUAACAACAGCCAAUAUAAAUAAAUCCUAAAGCCAUCAAAGGCGUCUACUACAAAUAACCCCAGCCACUACGAUUACGAAACUACAAAGAAAGAGAUGAAGAAAAGAAAAAACAAUAACAAAACUAAAAGGAAGGUGAGUUUACCUUCUUUGGAGCAGCAAAAUGGAAAUACGAGCUUUGUCAAAGUCCGCCACCAACGGGGAAUGUUGUCAUCAUCACUUCAAAAACUCUACUUAACUGAUGAAUGCCCAGAAAUGAAGAUUUUACUAAUCGGGACUGUAUUUUUCUUUACCAAACACUUUCCCCCUUUUUUUUUCUUUUCUUCCUCAUUUCCCCCUAUAAAAAACCCCUUUUCAGCUCACUGUGAGCUUUUUAUAAAAGGAUGUCCAGUUCCCCUUUUGGGGUUUUAUCCGAUGUGGGAUCGAUUUGAACGGGGGUGAUUUCGGGAUUCUAAUGAACAUAUUUUUUCGUAAUUCCCACCGAAGACAAGAUUUCCAACCAAUAAUUUAUACUAAUUUGGAUUUUCUUUAACAAAUUCAAAAUCGGUGGACCAAUAAAAACUUGGGAAAACUAGUUAUCCUUCAGGACCAAUGAAAUUCUACCAAAUAUGUACGAAUUCGUACAAGUUAAUUCGAAAUUCUCGAGAUUUAAACAUUGGAUGAGACACCUAGGCGUGUUUCUAUAAGAUCCUUGGCGUCUUCCUCGCACGGAUAGGCGUGGGACGCGUGACGAAGAUAAAAAAGGAUGGGUUGGUUGCGGAUCUAUGGAUUCCGGUUAAUUUGGACGGUUUAGAGUUGGUUUGGCAUCGGGUUAUCGUGUUUUGGAGUUGUCUUUGGUUCUUGGCUGUUUUGGUCGAUGUUGAAGAUUGUUAUGGCGGUUAUUUGAAGGGGAUAAUGGAAUGGGCUAGGUCGAGUGGAGGAAGUGUUGGGCUGGUAUGUGUUUGGUUGGAGUGGGCCAAAAUUAUUUAAUGAAAUUAGGCUGCUGAUGUUGUUAAUUGGGUAUAUUAGGUUUUGGGGUUAUUUUCCAAAUAACCCCAAUUAGACUAGGGGUUCAAAAACUAAUUUCAAUUAGGAAUUAGCUCAUUCUACUUAAAUUAUGAUCAAAUUAAAAGUUAAUUGGACAAUUGCACUGCAAUUGUGGUCAAUUUAAUUUAAAUUAUGACCAAAUUUAAUAUAUUAGUCAAAUUAAAUUGAAAUUUGAUACGAAUUAAUUCUUCAUUUAAUCCCGAGCUUUUUUAUUUAAUAAAAUCAAACGUAUAUUUAUCCCAAUAAAUUAUAUUUAAAAAUAAUGAUUUGAAUCAUUAUAUUUAUUUUCAAAAUAAUUCUUAAUUAAAAUUCGAUAUUCUAUAGAAUAAAUAUUUAGGUAAUCAAAUUAUAUAAUCUCAUAUAACUGAACACGAUAAUAUAUAAUCGCUACUUAAAAUGAUAAAAUUGCGUACAAAAAUAUUUUGAAAAGUUUUUAUUUGGAUGAAAUAAAUAUUUUGAUUUUAUUAAAAUUGAAGAAACUCAGAAUUAAAUUUAGUCGUGGAGGGAAAAAAUUUGGUGUCAACCAUGGUUACUCAUAAGUGGACUCUCUUGUUUCUAUCUCAGUCAUAUACUCACCUUAAUGUCAUUGCAUGCAUUCAUGAAUUAACUCAGUCAGUCACCAUGUUUCAGACUCAGUCAUGUAAUCAUGUUUACAUUUAUGCAUGUUCAGUAUGUAAUCUCAGUUCCUUUAGUAUACUCUGCUUAAUUAGUCUCAUUCGAGGAUGAAUCUUUCCAAGGGGGAGAUAUUGUAAUAUCCCAUACUUUUGUUAGUUUAGUUCAACUUUUUCUACAUGCAUAAGAGGCUUAGAACCUUAAAAUUUAGCUAAAUGUUGGAGACUUAGUUUUAUUUUUGGCCUCUUAACUUUGAUGAUUUUUAAUUUGACCUUCUUGACCCCAAGACGUAAGUUUUUGAGUUGAUUCAUCUUCAAGGGUUUAAGUAGCACGUCUCGGGUGAGUUUCAGAUUUUUUGGAUGAGGUUUGGAUAAUGUUUGGGUUUCCAAAAUAGCAGCUCACCGCGAUUGCACCGCAUCAUGGUGGCUAUAGACAUGGAAUCCUUGGUGCAUCGCGGUGAGAGCCCAAAUGGCAUUCUAGUUAUGAAUUUUAAUCUUCAGGGGUAGUUUAGUCUUUUUCCACCACCCAUAAAUUGUGAAAACACGGGAUUAAACAGCUGAAAGGGCAUAUUUUGCCCAGAUUCCCCAAUUUCAUUCAACAAGAAACCCUAAACUCUCUAAUUAUUCAUCAAGCUAAACCUUCCCCCCUCCAAGAAAGAUCAAGAAUUGGGGUUUCCAAGCUAAGAACAUUCAAGCUUAUAAUAUUCUUCAAGAUUUAAUCCUUAGAGGUAUGUUAGAUUUUCAUCCAUGGGCCUAUUUCACCCAUGGAGUCCAAGAAUCCAUCUUUUAUGUUUUAAAUUAUGAAAUUACAUGUUUAUAAUGAUUUAUCUCCAUGAAGCUUUUAUGAAUUUUGAUUAUACAUGACGUUUACAAUCUAUUUUCGUUGAAAGCAGCCCUUACACAUUUGAAGUAUUAAAUUUCAUUGUUAAAUCCCUAAUUAUGGUUUUAGUAUUGCAAUUAUGCUUUUCCCACAUGUUUCACUCAUUCCUAUGCUUAAGUCCAUGAAUUUCUUACCGUUUAAAUUUCAAGUUCAGAUUAUAAAUUGUUUCAAGUGGAAUGCAUUAUAGAAUGUUUUAAAUAUGGUGGUUUUCAUAUCAUGUUCAUGAGAAUUAAGAAUAAAUCCUCAGUUUGUGAUCUUGUCAUGUGAUCAUGCUAUCACAUCAUGUUUAAAGGUAUUCCCAUGUUUAAAUUUAUGUCUCCCAUGUGUUUGAUGAAAUGCUUAAGCGAGUAAUUGUGAACAAUGAUUUCCUUUCUAGGGUUUCAAAUGCUUUUAUGUGUCCUUAUUGUUAUUGCUAUUGAGUAUUGAAGGUUAUGAAUACCCAAAAUUUAGCUGUUUACUUAGUCUCAGGAUUCUCAUAAUAGUUUCAGACACGUAUGAGCAUUAUCAGUUCAAACAGUUACUAUGUUAGUCAAACUUAGAUCAAUUCAGUAAUUCGAGUCAAUUCCUUCUUCAGUUAAAAUUAUUUCAGUUUCGUAAUCAAUGUCAUUUUAGAUGGAGUAGGAUUCAGCACUGAGUAAACUAGGGAUGGGGGCAUUCCCUUUAUCAUAGGGUUUGACCCUUAGUAGCAAUCUUUGAGUUACAAAACUAAUUAGCCAACGUAGGUUUGAGAUGGGUUCCUUCUAGUUUAGGGUUAACACAUAUUUUAUGAGUCUUCUAUUAGUUUAGGGUUGACAAUAUGUCUUCCUUCUAGUUUAGGGUUGACACAACCAUUGUUAGUACCCUUGACACGGUAAUAGCACCCUUCCAACUGAGGUCACAGGUUGGACCCUGAUCAGCUCAGCUUUGGGGCAUAUUGGUUAGAUAAUACAUGCUACAGUUUUAGUUUCAGUAUUCAGUUCAAAACUCAGUUCAACUUUGCUUGACCAUAACAUACAGUUUAUCACUUAUUUAGUUAUUAAAUAUCAGUAUUUUAGUUUAUAGACUAUUUCAGAAUCAUGUUAUAUGCUUGGUCAUGCAUUCUCAAAUAUUACAACAUUUACAUAUUUAUAUCAUUAUCCAGUUAUUUCAUGCUAUUCAUUCAUUAAGUUAUUAUUCAUACACAUGAGUCCAUACAUAUCAGCCUAACCUCAUCUAGCAAACUAGUGCAUUCAAAGUACUGACGGCAUGCUCGUUUUUUGCUCUAUGAUGUAUCAUAUCAUAGGUUCGGACUCUCAGGUUCCCCUCUACACUAAACAUUUCUGUGCAUCAGCAGCAGCAACAGUGGUGAGUCCUCAUAUUUUGAUGGUCGAUUAUGUUUAUUUUAGUACUUUAGUCCAGUAGUUAGUCGGGGUUAGUUUGGGACAUGUCCCAUUAAAUCCAUGGUUAUUCAGUCAGAGGCUUUGAAAUAUUUUCAAAAAGUUAUCAAGUUUUUAGUUGAUUGUCAGUCUUUACGUUAUUACUUUCAGAUAGUUGUUUCAUAUUUUAGAGUUCAUUAAUGUCUCAGUAUUAUAAAACCUUAUGACAUAUUCAGUUAUUCCACAUCUGAGUAUAUUUUAUUAGCAGUUUUGUUUAGUGGUCACAGCAGGUACCAGCUCAUGGGUUAGCAUAUGGUCACUUGUAAAUGUAAGCACCAUGUGGCGCCCAGGGUGUACUCCCGGGGUGUUACAGUAUAAUAAUGUUUUGAUAAUUUUUUUUGUUUUAGUAAUUUUCUAUGUUAAUAUACAUCAAUUUAUGAUAUAUAUUUUUGAUAAAUUUUAUAUAGAUUCGAAGCUAAUAGAGAGUUGUUUGGUAGAGUGUUCAACUAAAUAUUCCAAUAAAAAAUACAUGUAAUUUCAUGCUUGUUGUUUUUGGAAAAACAUAAGGGAUGAAAAGAAUUUAAGAUAAAUAUUUAUGCUAUAUAUCAUAUUACUCCAAUGUAUUGAUUUAUAUUUUCAUAUAAUGAAGUGCAGCAAUACUUUUUAUAAUUUCAUUCUUUUAUUUUUCAUCAUACAAUAUUGUCUCAUAGAGUUAUAAGAAAAUUAAAAUGUUAUAUUUCCUUUUUCAAUAUGUGUUGUUUGUAGUUUUAUUUUAAUCAUAUGGAUCCAAUGAAUAAUUAAUGAUAACAAAUCAUUAAAUUUUAAACAUACUAAUAGGUAAAGAGUUGUGUCAAAUCCCUGCUUCUCUCUUGAGAUCCGAUUUCAAUUUCGAUAAUUUCUUGUUCUCAUGUAAUAAGUUUCUAGUUCUUGGUUUAUUGUUCAAUGUUAUGCAAUUUAUAAUUCCAAAAUAUUUGUAAUAGCUUGAAACAACAAAAUGAACUGUUCCUUCGUACCUUUUCCAAUUACCAAGUUUAAUUAGGGAAAUUUAUAACUUCUUUGCUAGUUUGGCUUUAUGGAUAACUUCAAAAAUUGCUCAUCAAAUAUUUAAAUUAAAUAGUAUGACUUGUCAGAGUUUUGAUUCAAUCACAAAUUUUUCCAUUGUUUCGAGACUCAUGCUAAUUUAUUUAGAUUUGUCAUGUUUAGGUGAAUUAUUAAUAUAAAAUCGAAAUAUUUUAGAUGUUUUUUUACCUUUCAAUCUUUAUAUAGCAAUGAAAGUGUAACGACCUAAUAAUUUGAUGAAUUAUGUAAAAUUUGUGAUUUUACAUAAUUUGACUAUUUUACCCCUCUCCAUAGUUGCAUUAUAGUAUUUCUGGAGUGUGAGAGUGAUUGACAUGUUUUUCGAUGCAUUUUGGUAUCAUUUAUGUGAUAUUGUUGUUUUUGAAUGUCUUCGAGAGUCUUGUUAGAGACUUAAGAGGAUAUCUUUUGAUCCGAGCAAUGGAUGGCCAUAAAGACUGCUUUAACAAUGUCGAAAUAUCGAUUUUAGGCUGGGUAGACCUUUGGUUCGGGUUUCGGUGCACCCGAGCUUAUUUCGACCUAUUGAUCGGAAAGUUGAAAAAUUGAAAAUAUAGAUAUGGGACCCACAUUUGAUCGAAACAACCUUGGAUGGAAAAUCCAAAUUUGCCAACAGAUUUGGAAUGUCGAUUUUAGGGUGUUAGCAUGUUUUGUAUGAUUUUACGGCUUUUAAAUUUCAUUUCACCCUCGAUUUGAAAAAUUAUGAUUUUAAAUUUCGGGGAUCAACUUUGUGAAAAUGAUAUUUUUAAAAAAAAAAUUGAUAUUUUUUUUAAAAAAUCUGAUAUCUCCAUCGUAUCUGGAACAUCAAAUUUAGGGUAGUUACAUAGUUUGUUUGCAUAUAUUGAACUCCGAAUCAAUUUUGGACACCCUGUCGAAGUGUGAGUUGGACAUUUUAAAAAAAAACUCUUAGUGCAUAUUUUCUGCUAUAUAUAUAGCAGAUUUUUCCCCUUUUGGACUAUUUUGCUCAUUUUUCAUCUUGUCUCUUGAGAGUUAUACCCCAAAAUAGUGUGAGAGCUUAAAAGUGAAGUUUGUGAGAGUUUGAGAAGCUAGAUUAACACCCAUUUCUUGGUUUUAUACCGGUUUAAGGUAAGAAUUCACCCUUUUCUUAGUAAUUUCUUGAUUAAUUUCUCAAAAUCCCAAAAAUCUUAGGGCAUGAUUUUAAAUCAAAAUUUUACUGCUUUUUCACUUGAAUAAUAUUUUUACCUUAUAAUUACUAGUUUUUCAUCAAUUUAACCUUCAAAACAUCUAUGAUUCUUGAUUUUAACCUGAAUUUCAAAGAUUUUACCCGGUAAAGUUCAAAAUACUUUUUCUUCUAUUUGAACCUCAUUUUUGACUCAAUUUAACUUGGAUUUUCAGCCGUAGAUUCCUAAAUAUAUGGGAAACAUGUUCUUGAAGUGAAGUUCUGAUUUUGUCCUUCUCUUUCAGAAACCCAUUUCGGGGAUCCGUUUUGACCUCAACCAAAAAUAGUCAAUAUGAGUGUCGUUGGUUUUGUUUUGAUGUGUAAAUUUCAUAUUUAAUAUUUUUAGUGGAAUUCAGAAUCAUUCAUGGAAUGUAUGAUCGUGGGUUCAAAGUAUAGCGGAUGAAUUUCGAUUUUUGAGGUAGGUUAUGGCUUAACUCUUUCAGACUUGGUUGGGUAGUAAAUGAUGAUACAAAAUGCAUGUAAAGGGUGGGAACUAAUCAUGAAAAAUGGCUAUUCAUGUUAAUUAUAAUUGUCAAAAUUGAGUUAUUAUAUGAUAUGUUUGACCGUGUGGGGGUCCAAUGUGAUAUUAAAAGCCUUGAAUACAUGUGAAUAUUUGUAUUGUGUUGUUAACAUGCUUAAUAUGGUACCAUUGGUGUAUUAUGAUAUUCAUACUUUAUUUGGCAUAUGAGACAUGUAGAAAUUCGUAGAUAAAAAUGAAAUAAUGAAUGGAUAUUGGCUCACAUGGUUGUGGAAAUAUAUCAUUGUGGUUGGUUGUGAAACUACUCAUUGUGAUUAGUUGUGAGCAUUACAUCCUCAUAUCAUACUCAUUCAUGAAACAUUGGUACCACUGUGGCAAUAUAUCAGAAACACUGUUAACACCUUUUUAAAACCCUCCCUGAAGGAUGUGCUGGGGAGUAGAUAUUGUAACACCAUAUAAAACCAUUUUUGAGGGAUGUACCGGAAAGGAGAUAUGAGAUAUGUCGAUUGUAUAGGUUUGAUGAACCCCCCUUGGGUCCUACAUCGGGAAACUUUAGAUCUAUAGGUGUAUAUGGGGAUUGUGCGAUAAUCCCAGAGGUUGUGCGGCGACCUCGUGCAUCAUCAUCAUCAUCAUCAUUAUCAUAUACAUUGCACUUACUUUAUUGUGUUAUGUUGUGAUGUAUUGGUAUAUUGACUUGUCAUCAAUGUAUUUGUCGUAUCUUAUUUUACUUGUAUUUGAUGAUUUUAUACGUGCAUGUCCCCCUUUGUUCUUCUUAUAUAUAAUAUAAUACAUACUUUUGUUCUAUCUUGGUAUGAUGUUGCAAAAUAUAUGAGAUAUAUGAGAACUGUUAGUGCGGUGUGGGCUACCGUUGUGGGACAUUUUCUGAUUGUAGGUGAUGUGCCCUUAGUGUAUAUUUUGUAUGCUUUAUUUACUACAUUGCUUGGUCGGCCUAUGAUACCUAUUGAGUACAAGUGGACCGUUCUCAUGCCUACUGUGCUCUUUCGGUGCAGGUCCUAGCUCAAGUGCGCCUCAACUUGCUUGACUCGGGCAAUUGUUGGAGCUUUUAAGGUAGCAGUUGGAUAUUCAUGCGUCUAAAGUUUACCUCUAUCUUCUAUAGUAGUUAUGUCUUUAUUAGUAUUCAGAGACAAUUAUUAUUUCUUUGUGGUUAUUUUUCUGAUGUAUUUGACUCUUGGAUUGUAUUAGUAGUUCUUACAUUAUUGACACCUAAUUUUGGGUAUGAUUGGUAUUUUGGAUAAGUUUUUUCUACAUUGUUAUGAUUAAUUAUAUGGUUCGGCUUCGUUCUAGAAGCCUUAUCAUGGGAUAUUUCUGUCUUUUCCUCUUUUCAUAUCAGUUUGGGUGAUAGGCUUACUUGUCAAGGUACACCGCGUCAAGUGCCAUCAUGACCUUUAUUUUUUAGUGUCGUGACAAAAAGUUAAUUUAGAAUAUUUACUAUCACAACCCUCUUUGUGGUUACAUAUGAGUCCAAAAUUUAAAAUCUUAUGUCCAAAUUCUCCCUAAUUUAGAAGAUAUAAAUAUUAGGCUAGUCUAGUUUCGAUUGAUUUCAGAGUGAGGUGUAGCCUAGUGAAUUUGAAAAAUGAUUUGGACCGGUGUAACACCCCACAUUUCGAACUAGAAAUUAAACUGUUGUUCCUACAUGUGUAAGCUCUAAUAGAAAUUAUUUCCAAGUGAGAAUAAGUGGCAUGAUCUUUAUCCUCGUGUUUGUAGGGCUUUCGAGGUAAAAAAAUCUUUAUAGAAAUCACUUAGAGCGAAGUUGAGCUAAGAACCUUUUAUUUGGCUAAAUCUUUGUAUUCAAUUUUACAAGGGUAUAUUUUGAAUGUGAAUAACUUUUGAUACAAAUAGAAUUUUGUAAAUCAAGACCCACCAAGUUGUAGAUAACUAAGUCUGCUUUCCAAUGAUAUCAAUUUUUCCAUAAUCUGAUACCCAAGCAAAAAGUUAUAGCCAUUUUCGUGAGAAAGGCUAUGAGGUCACACGAUUAGCAUGCGGCGCAAGCUCCAUUUCACCCCUGGCGGAGCCCGUGAUAGAGCAUGCGAUGCAGGGUCCAUUUCGGUGCUCCAUAGCAUGCAACCAAUGCUCUACUUCACCCAUUAUUUUCCAGUUUUUGUUUUUGUAUAAUUGGGGGCAAUAGGGUCAUUUUUACGCUCUCAAAGAGCAUUUGUUAAAUCAUUAUUCUCUCUUCCUCUUCAAGAAAACCCUAAGCCCCAAAUAUCAAGAAUAAAGCUCUUAGGUUAAGGUUUCUAAGAAACAAAUCAAGCUUCAAGUUUUGUUCUUCGAACUAAGUUAUAUAAGGUACAUGGGACUAUUCUGAAAAACUCUAUGGGAAUAAGUUAUGGUUUUAUCAAUAUUUUUAAAGCAUGUUAUGAUGUUUAUAAUGAGUGUUUGAACAAUUGUUUUGAAUAAAUAAAUCAUGAAAUCUUUUUCAAUGAUAUAUAUUGUUUUGGUCUUGAAACCUUCCCUUGAAAUUGAUUUUUACUCGUACAUAUGUAAGUAUGUAUUUUUAGUUUUGCAAAAAUUAAAUUAAGACAUGAUUGACGAAACCCCUCUCCUGUCACGAUACCUCUUGAUUUCACAUUAUGUGGGUUAUUCAAUUGCAUGUCUUGAAGUAUAAGAUAAGUGUUUUACUAUAGUUUUAGACUUGAUAUUGAUUAUGAAUUAAAGAAAGGGUGUUUUCUUAUUUAUAAAUGUUCAAUGUGAUAAUUGAAAGAUUUGCAUGGAUUUUUAUAAAGUAAUUGACCAUCAUGUGUUGAAAUAUCGAAUAGGGAUAAUCUUUGCAUAAGUUUGCACAUGUUAUGAAAUAAGGACUCCUGUGCAUUGUUAAAUGUUUUUGGUGGUUAAACGAUUGAGUUAAUUGAAGAUCUAAAGCUGAAAAUUAUAAAUGGUUUGAAUGAAAAGGGCUACAGAAUAAUAUGAUACAAAUGACUUGCAAAUCAGGGUAUGACAAUACUCGGUGAUGAUAUGCCCUUAACAGAAUAAGUAUUGAAUAUUUUAAAAGAAUGAAGCAUGUUUUAGAGAAUUAAAAAUGGCCUUAAAGAGAGUUAGAUGGUUACCCGAAGAAAGUAUCAGUUGAAAGACUCAAUGCUAGAAACUAUGAUUUGCUGACACGGGAUUUUUUGGACCAUACUUUGUGAUCUUGUGUACCUUGAUUCAUGUCGUCCCAAAGUGGGACCAUGGUUAGGAGCGCUACUUUGUUAUCUUAUGCACUACCAUAAAUGUUGAUUUGAUUGGGGAUUUUUGUACCUUGGUUUGUGAUCUUGCGUUUCCCCGUUAUAGAUACUCCAACCUUUGUGACAAACUUGGGUUGGAGGAUUGGCCGCCGAGUUAAGAGAGGAUUCCAUAUAACCCGUGGAAUUACAGAUUGUAGGGUAUACCAUCUAGCUCAGAAGAGAAAUAGCAAGUAGAGUCAUGAUCUCAAGAAAGUAUUUUUGAAAUUUAUCAAAUUAUUCCCAUGUGUUUUCUUAGAUAGUAUGUAAACUAUUUUAUAAAUUGCUAUCACUUAUGUUGUAUAAAAUACAUUAUUUUGGUUUGAUCUAUGGAACAACACACCUAUAUUGACCCCCUAUAUUUCAGGAUUUGAGGCACAAUCCCGGGGUCUCGCUAAGAAGUAGAUUGGUGUGUCAGAGAUUUGCAAUUGGUGAGCCUCCCCUAUUUCGGAAAGCCUAGUUGUUAAACUUUGUUAGUCAAAUUUGGAGUUAUAGUCCGACUAGGGGUCUUGUCACAGUUUGUAGACAGAUGUUGAUUUUCAGUUAGUAAAGAUUUCGUAGACUAGUGUCAUGUGUUUUGAAUGCUAAGAAAUUCCUUUCGCUUUGAUUAGUUGAGUUAUGAGAUUGAUCAUGUUUCCGUAUGUUAAUAUUUUGCAUUUCUUUACAUUAUAUGAACUUUGUGUAUGAUAGCCAGAUAGAAAAGGGCACUUAAGCCUUCAUGGUUUGGGAUGCUUGUCGCGGCUAGGGCCCUAGCUUGGGUUGUGAAAAACUUGGUAUCAGAUCACCGUUCAUGGUCCCAGAGUGUCUGCAAAAUCGAUUUGGGUACAGUUCUAUUUUUGGGUGUGUAGCAUGCCACACUUAUAAGUAGGAGGCUAUAAGGCAUUUAGGAAUGUAUCUUUUUUUCAUGAUUUAGUUCGUGCUAUAAAGUUUGAAUGUCCUUUAAUCAAUGAUUUCCUAUAUUUUAAAAAGUUAUCAUACCUCCUCAUAGAUCCAACGAAUAGAAUGCCCAAGCUUAAGGACGUUCGUCCUACUCAUGGGAUGUGGACCCAUAAUAGAGCUUAUAUCCUAAAGUUUGUUGCUACUAUGAGAGUUCCUCUAGUUUUGACUAGUCCAUCUCUGGCUCCACAGACCGGUGUUAAUCGUCCCCAACCUUCUCAGAGGGAAGUUUCAAAUACUAAGUUCCAAUAGUCCAUCAAUAUGAUUACUCAGCUGGUGGCCUCCCAAACCCAUCUGUCUGAGGAUGUGGGUUAUGUGUCUAGUUCAUCUGAGAUCACAUGAGUUGGUCAAUUCAUAAGGUUUAACUCACCUAUAUUUGUUGGCACGAAGGUUGAAGAAGACCCCCAAGGGUUCAUUAAUGAACUGGAGCAAUUUUUUAGAGUUAUGCAUAGGAAUGAGGUUGAAGGGGUUGAGUUGGCAAGAUAUCAAUUGAAAGAUAUGCCAAAUAAGUGGUAUAAUGAAUGAGAGGAUUCAAAUGGUAGUGAUGCUCAGCCUUCAUUGUAGGGUGAGUUUGUAGUGGCCUUCCCCUAGGAAUUGAGGGAAGCAAAGGCUGAAGAAUUUGUGAAUCUAAAGCAAGGGAAGAUGAGUGUAAAAGAGUAUACAUUGAAGUUCACCCAACUAUCUAGUUAUGCUCUAGAAAUAGUGAGUAAUAUGAGAGUUUGCAUGAGGAAGUUGGCAUCCAGCCUCUCAGAUGAAUUGGUAUUAGAAUGCUAGGGAGCAAUGCUGAAUAGAGAUAUGGAUUUAUCUAGGUUAUUUGUUCACAUGCAGUAGGUUGAAGAACAGAAAAAAAUCUAGCAGGGGUGAGGAAGAAAGACAGGCAGUCCAAAAGGGCCUAGUCUAUAGACUAAAAUAAUAUUCUGUCCCAAGGUGGUAAUUCGGGAAAUAGGUGGUCUAAAAAGAAGUCUUGGAGUAAUGCUCAGUCUUCAUCAAGUGCACCUGUACCCAGUCCUUCGGGUGAAUAGCGGUUCCAGUCAGAAGAUAGGCCUGGAGCCUAUGGUACCCAGUCCUAGGGGAGUGUGACUCAGCCCGCUAGAUCAUUUCCUCAUUGUAUCUUUCUAGGAGGAACCAUCCAGGAAGUAUUAUUUUGAGAAAUGGACUUUCUACUCUUGCGAUCAAGUGGGCCACAUUCAGGAAGACUGUUCUUUAGCUGGAGGAAAUAUAGGGGUAGAUAAGUCCUAAGCCACGUCUUCAGCCCCUCCUUCUAAGGGUACUACUUCAGCCAUCGAUGGUGGUCACAACUGGUUAUAUGCCUUAUCUAACCGCUAUGAUGCGAAUAUCUCACUAGAUGCUAUUACGCUCCCAUGAUGUGUAUGUAUUGGCAUGCUUCAUAUGAUUGGUGUUGAUAGACAAUAAGAUAUGGAGUGUAGUGGUGGAAAUAGUAGCUUAAGAUUGUUAAUGCAUAUUUUAUGGGAAGGAAUUAGUGGGCUUGAUGCAAUAUUUGAAAUAGCUUAGGUUGGCAACUUAUCGAAUAAGAAAAGAGGAUGGGUAUGCUUAUGAGAGUGUGAGUUGUAGGUUGACGGCUAUAGAGGAUAGCAAUAAGAGUAGCGUUCUUGUAAAGAAUGCCUUUAGACCAUAGUUAAAAAAAAGGGAGUUUAGCAUUUAAGUGUAUGGUGAUACCCCAUUGUGUUGAGAGUUGUCUUUAUUGAUUUGAAGAGGGGGUAUGAGUGCAAGUCUAGGAUUGUGACUUUGACCCAAGAGGGAGAUGGUGAAUUAAGGUAGUUCCUAAAUUUUCUCCCAUUCAUGAUGCUUAUGCUCGGGUCACUUAAUGACCCUCCAUAUGUUAGUAUUAUGGUAGUUGUAGAAGCAUAGUAGUGUGUUGGAUGCGGGAGUAGAUGUUCUUGAAGGUGAAAAUCUUAAUGUGAUCUCUUGCGCUAAGGUUAUAAGAGAAAAAGAAAGAAGGAGAUGAACAUUCGCUAGGUGAAAUAGUUAGGAGGGAAAUAUAUGGAAAAAAUCUUUGUGAGAAUAAUUGAAUUUGCUGGUCUUAGUGGAGAGAUCUAUGAAGUCGGGUGCAGUAACGAGAGAUCUAUGAUGCCAUUGAAUAUUUUGUUGAGGAAAAAUGUUCAACAUGAGAAUACUUUCUUUAUUCUACCUUUUUAAAGCUUCAAAAAAUAUCCCUAACCAUCAUUCGGGGAUGCGUGAACCUAAGGGGGAGGUAAUGUAACACCCCGUAUUUCAAACUAGAAAUUGAACUGUUGUUCCUACGUGUGUAAGAUCUAAUAGAAAUUAUUUACAAGUGAGAAUAAUUGUCUUGAUCUUUAUCCUCGUGUUUGAUGUUCUUUUGAGGUGAAAAACAUCUUCAUAGGAAUCACUUAGAGCGAAGUUGAGCUAAGAACCUUUGAUUCGGCUAAAUCUUUGUAUUUGAUUUUACAAGGGACUACUUUGAAAGUGUAUAACUUUUUAUACAAGCAUAAUUUUGCAGCUCCAUACCCCCCAAGUUGUAGAUAAUUGAGUCAGCUUUCAAAUAAUAUCAAUUUUUCCUUAAUCCGAUAUCCAAGCAAAAAGUUAUAAAUAUUUUUGUUAGAGGCAGUGAGGUCGCGCGAUUAGCAUGCGACACACGCUCUAUUUCACCCCUGAGGAAGCCCGCGAUAGAGCAUGUGAGGCACACUCCAUUUCAGUGCUCCAAAGCAUGCAACACAUGCUCCAUUUCACCCCUUAUUUUCUAGUUUCUGUUUCUGCAUAUUUGAGGGAAAUAGGGUCAUUUACCUCUCCAAAAUUGUCCAAAACAGAAGAUUUAAGCCCCCAAAGAGCAUUUGUUACAUAUUUAUUCUCCUUUCCUCUACAAGAAAACCCUAAGCCCCAACUAUCAAGAAUCAAGCUCUUAGAUCAAGGUUUCCAGGAAACAAAUCAAGAUUUGGGUUUUGUUCUUCGAACUAAGUAAUCUAAGGCACAUGGGGCUAUUCUAAAAAACUCUAUGGGCAUAAGUUAUGGUUUUAUCAAUCUUUUGAAAGCAUGUUAUAAUGUUUAUAACAAGGGUUUUAACAAUUAUUUUUAAUAUCAAAAUCAUGAAAUCCUUUUCAAUGAUAUAUAUAUUGUUUUGUUUUUGAGACCUCCCCUUGAAAUUUAUUUUUACUUGUAUAUAUUUAAGUAUGCAUUUUCUGUUUUUCAAAUAUUAAAUUGAGAGCAUGAUUGAUAAAAACCCUCUUCUGUUAUGAUACCUCUUGAUUUCAAAUGUUGUGGGUUGUUCAAUUGCAUGUCUUGAAGCAUGAAAUAAGUGUUUUACUAUUUUUUUGGACUUGAUAUUGAUUAUGAAUUAAAGAGAGGGUGUUUUCUUAUUUAUAAAUGUUCAAUGUGAUAGCUGAAAGAGUUGUAUGAAUUGUUAUAAAGUAAUUAACCAUCAUGUGUUGAAAUAUCGAAUAAGGAGAAUCUUUGCAUAAGUUUGCACAUAUUUUGAAAUAAGGACUCCCUUGAAUUGUUAAUUGUUAUUGUUGCUUAAACGAUUGAGUUAAUUGAAAGAUCUAAAGCUGAACAUUAUAAAUAGUUUGAAUGAGAAGGGCUAUGGAAUGAUAUAAUACAAAUGACUUGCAAGUCAGGGUAUGAUGAUACCCGGUGAUGAUAUGACCUUAACAGAAUAAGUAUUGAAUGUUUUAAAAGCAUGAAACGUGUUUUAAAGAAUUAAAAGUGGGCUGAAAGAGAGUUAGAUGGUUACCCAACGAAAGUACGAGUUGAAAGACUUAACGCUAGAAACUGUGAUUUGACGACACAGGAUUUUUGGUACCAUGCUUUGGGAUCUUGUGUACAUUAAUUCAUGUAGUCCCAAAGUAGGACCAUGGUUAGGAGCCCUUCUUUGUGAUCUUGUGCACUACCAUGACAUGUUGAUUUGAUUGGGGAUUUUGGCACCCUGAUUUGUGAUCUUGUAUGUCCCCCUUAUAGAAACUCCAACCCUUGCGUCAAACUUGGGUUGGGGGCUUGGCCGCCUAGUUAAGUGUGAAUUCCAUAUAGCCCGUGAUAUUACAGAUUGUAGGGUGUACCAUCUAGCUCAGAAGAAAAAUAGAGAGUAGAGUCAUGAUCUCAAGAAAGUGUUUUGAAAUUUAUCAAAUUAUGCCCAUAUGUUUUCAUAUAUGGUAUGUAAACUAUUUUAUAAAUUUCUCUCACUUACGUUGUAGAAAUUACAUUAUUUUGGAUUUCUCUACGUACCAGUACACUUGUAUUGACCCUCUAUAUUUCAGGUUCUGAGGCACAGUCCCGGGGUCCUGCUAAGCAGUAGAUUGGCGUGUCAGAUAUUUGCUAUUGGUGAGCCUUUUCUAUUCCGGAAGGCCUAGUUUUUAAACAUUGUUAGCCAUAUUUUGAGUUAUGGUCCAACUAACGGCCAUGUCCCAGUUUUUAGACAGAUGUUGAUUUUUAGUUAGUAGAGAUUUCGUAGACUGGUGUCAGGUGUUUUGAAUAUUCAGAACUUCCAUUCGUUUUGCUCAUUUGAGUUGUCAGAUUGACCAUGUUUCCGUAUGUUGAUAUUCUGCAUUACUUUACAUUAUAUAAACAUUGUGUAUGAUUGCUAGAUAUAAAAGGGCGCUCGGGCCUUCAUGCUUUGGGAUGCUCAUCCUGGCCAGGGCCCCGUCUCGGGUCGUGACAACUAGAUUAGUAGUAGUGGUCUAGAUUUAUAGCUAUCUAAGAUAUUAAGGAACUAUCACGACCCAAAUGGAGAUGAGUGGCACCCACACUAAUCUUUCUGUGGGAGAAUCAUCUAAAUAAAAAAAUUACCCAAUCACUUAGUCAAUACUGAGAUGACAUUAUCAUAAAAUCAACAUAAUGACAAAAAUCCAAGACUAAUCAUUAUUAAUGCUGAAGUCAAACAAAGUACUUACUAAAGCCCCCACGACCCAAAAUUCAUCGUACAAGAACUACUAACAAAGAUCACGUCUAAAGAGAUAUAAAAAAAUAAAGUAAAUAAAGAAUGUUUCAUUGCCCGAAAGAUGGACAAGAACAAACGAGAUGACCAUGGCAACCCAGAGCUCACCCUUGGAUCAAGUUCUUAUAUCAAACUCUAUAGGUGAGGUCGUGUUUGAGCCUCUGAAACGCUUUAUGCACUUAACAAAAGAAGAGUACAGGGUAGUAUUAUUACAAACCACAAUGUACAGGUAGUCAUCAUAGGACAACUCAACUUAAUAGCAUGUACACAACAUAAAUCAAAUAAUAAGUAAACAGGCAUCGUCAUAUAACAAUAAUUCAAUGAAGCAACAACAUUGCAAUAACAUGUUAAACAAUACUCACAACCAAGCUACUUAACCAUUCAGAGUGUCAACCCACUCUAAAAACCAACAUAAUCAACACAAAUAUGUACAUACAUGCUAUGGGAAUUAUUUUUGCCCAAAAAGUCAUGACCUGUAGGGAAAAAUCUAAGUUCAUGUACAGUACCGAUGUGGUACCCAAUGCAACAUAUACAUAUCUGUAUCGGCAUGGUAUCCAAUCCAACAUAUACAUAUCUGUACCGGCGUGGUACCUAAUCCAUCAUAUACACAUCCAUACCGGUGUGAUACCCAAUCCAACAUAUACAUAUUUGUACUGGCGUGGUACCUAAUCCAACAUAUACACAUCUGUACCUGCAUGGUACCCAAUCUAACAUAUACACAUCCUUACCGGUAUGGUACCCGAUCCAACAUAUACACAUCCGUACCAACAUGAUACCCGAUCCAAUAUAAACAAGUAAUAUCAAUAUCAAAUUUACACUUGCUCACAUCAUACAAUACAAAGUACCAAGUUUACAAGUACACUUAAAGUCAUAAAUCAAUUCCACCAAGUAAAUUUUCAAUAAUCAUUUAUACACGCUUCAAAAAUCAAAACACCAUUAAUUUCAAACAUGUCCAAAUACCAAUCAACAAGUAUCCAAUUUAAGAGUAUACAUACAAUUAAAUCGAGUCUAAACCCCAAUUAAACCAUAACCUACCUCAAUCGAAGAGUCCAAAUGAAAGCUAUUUUGUUAAAUACUUGUCUUUUCAUAAAGUUUCUGAAUGAUCACAACCUAUUCAAAUAUGUAAUCCCCAUAAAAUACAAAAAAUAAUGACACCACCUUAUUAAUUCUUAUUUUAAAAAUUAUAACAUAAGAUUAUUAAAAUAACGAGAAGGCAGAACGUUGAAUGUCUUUGGUUUGCAUCAAAGCUGAUGACUCUUUAAUAUUGUGCUUGUAGCAUCCUUAAUUAUUAAAUCUACUAACUUUCUAUUGCCAAUCAUUGGCAUAUAACAAUUUCCCUAUUUGACAUGCAAAUUAAUACUUCCUCCGUCUCAAAUUACCCAUCCCGUAUUUCCUUUUUUCAUUAAUCAAGAAGAGACAAUUUCUUUUUCAUGUUUUUUCCUUUGCAUUAAUUACUUUUUCUUCAAAUUAAAAUGUAAAUAUCAUUUAAUAAGGGUACUAUGGUAAACCACACAUCUUAUUAAUUAUUUUUUUAAUCAAUGUGUCAUCUCAAUUUGGGACGGAGGGAGUAUUAAAUUAGAAGUUGAAUUCAAAUGCUAAUAAACACAAAAUACACUCCUUCCUCUUUCCACCAUUAUGGCCAAGCAUUAAUGCCAUCAUAGUAAAUUUAUUAAUAUUUUUCAUUAAUCCUACUUUUAAAAGAAAACGUGAAACCAAGUAAAGUAUAAUUGAUUUAAAAUAUUCCCCAACAACGAAUCAUCUAUAGUAGUACUAAAUAGAAUAUCAAUUUUAAGAAAAAUAAUAACCUGAAGUUUUAAGCCGACUGAUUUCUUCUUUGAACUAUAAUGUGAAAACUACUAUAUUCUGCUUCCCCUUUCUGAUGCUGCUAAUAUUAUAAAUGAUAAACCCUACCCACUUAAUUCCAUUAUUAUAUUGACCAUAUAAGUUAAAUAAAUUAUAAUUUUGACCCACUAAAAUGCCAAGUUGAGGUUAUCUUGUAAAAAAUAGGAAAGAUGAGGAAAUUUCACAAAUGACUAGGAGGGUCGUUACAUCAGAUAACAAUUAAACAACUAUUCAUCCCCGAAUGGGAAAACACAAGACAAGAAGGGAAAACACGGAAUUACCUGAAUCCAUAAAAAGAUGUUAUAAUUGCUAUGCAUGUCCUCUUCGGUCUCCUAAGUGGCCUCCUCAAUUCGAUGAUUCUUGCACUAUACCUUCAUAGAUGCAAUCUCCUUAGUCCUCAACUUACAGACAUCCCUAUCAAUAAUAGCAAUAGGUUCUUCUUCAUAAGAGAGGUUUUCACCUAACAUGACUUAAUCUAAAUGAAUUAUGUAGUUACCAUCACCAUGACACUUCUUUAGCAUAGAUACAUAAAACAUAUGAUGAACUCCUGACAAACUCGGAGGCAAUGCCAAUCUAUAGGACACUAGCCCCAAAUGCUAAAGAACCUUAAAGGGUCUAAUAUAUCUAAAACUGAGCUUCCCUUACUUCCUAAAAUGCAUGACACCCUUCAUGGGUGAAACCUUGAGCAAUACUUGCCCGCGCUCCAUAAAGUGUAUAUCUCUAACUUUCUGAUCUGCAUACUCCUUUUUCUUUCUUUGAGAUACUAUAAGUUUCUCCUAAAUGAAUUUGACCUUCUCUAACGAGUCCCUCAACACAUCAGUACCCCAUGGUCUCACCUCAAAUACAUCAAACCACCCAAUGGGAGAUCUACACCUCCCCCCAUAAAAAUACUCAAAUGGUGCCAUAUUAAUACACAAAUAAUAACUAAUAUUAUAUGGAAACUCAGACAAAUCUAGAAAUUGAUUUUGAUGACCACCACAAUCUAUCACACACACAUAAAGCAUAUCCUCCAACACCUGAAGCGUUCACCCGGACUGCCUAUAGGUCUGAGGGUGAAAAGUUGUACUAAGGUCCAACCUUGUACCCAAAUCCUCAUGCAAAUUCUUCUAAAAGAUAGAGGUAAAUUAAGUACCCCUAUUUGAGAUAAUUGAAAUUGGGACCCAUGCAACCGAACAGUCUCCUUAAGAUAAAUAUUGGCCAAAUUUUUUGCAUUAUAAGCCACCUGAACUAGAAUAAAAUAUGCAGACUUCUUCAACCUACCUACAAUAACCCAUAUCAAAUCAUGCUUUCCCAAAGUCUUAGGAAGACUAAUAAUAAAAUCCAUAGCUAUCCUCUCCCAUUUUUAUUCAGGAAUGGGCAUCCUCUGAAGAGUACCACCGCGUAUCUCAUGCUCGUACUUUAUCUACUAACAACUCUGGCAUUUAUCAACAAAAUCAACUAUGUCACGCUUUAUUCGACCCUACUAGUAAUGUGUAAUACCCCACAUAUUUCUAAGCUAGGAAGUGAAUAAGUAUUUCUACGUAUGAAAUGUCCUAUCCUGUGAUUCAUACUUGAGUACAUGAAUUACAAUGAAUAUCCUAGUGAUAGGAUAACUUAUGAUGCAUUAAGAAUGUUCAUAUGGGUCACUUAAGGUAAUACAAGCUAAGAGUUUUUGAAUCCAUCAAGUUUUAGUGUUCGAUUUUGCAAGGGUCAUAUUUGAAUGCAUAUAACUCAAUUUUAAUAUAGUAUUUUGGCAUAUUUAGAUCCACAAAAUUGUAGACAAUCAAAUUAGAUUUCCAACGAUACCAAUUUUGCCUUAAUCCAAUACCCGAGCAAAAAGUUAUGCCCAUUUUUGUGAGAGACAAUAAGGAUAGGCGAUUGGUUAGGUGCCGGCCAACCUAGCUUAGGCAAUCACUUGGGCGCCGCCUAAGUCAGUUCCAGGUGCCAAAAACACUCCGUUUUGAGUUAUUUUAAGGGUAAUUAAGUCUUUUAACACUCCUUACACGUCCCCAAACUUAACCCUACGAAAUAUAUAGCUUCUAAACAUAUUACAACCCUAUUAUCAUCUCAAAACUCAUCAUCCAAGAGCACUAAAAAAGGAAAACAACUAGGGUUGCAUACUAAUCUUGAAGAUCCAAUUUCAAGGAAAUUCCUCCGUCAAUCAUCAAGAAUCUUCCUUCUAAGGUAUGAGUGAGUUGAUUUAUUGAACCCUUUCAUCCAUAAAGGUCAAAAACCCUCUUUUUCAUUAUAAAGUAUGACUUCUAUAUUGUUGGGUGUUAAUGAUCAUGUUGUUGAUAUUGGGUGAUUCCCAAGAUGGAAUCUUUAUAUGUUUUUCUUGAAUUUCAUGAUUUCAUAUGAGUUGGAAACAUAUAAAUUUGGUUGUUCAUGAUGUAUAAUUUGAUGAUNNNNNNNNNNNNNNNNNNNNNNNNNNNNNNNNNNNNNNNNNNNNNCAAAUCCUACUUAUGAACAAGAUGUAUGAUAACCAUGCAAUCCACAUAAACUUCCAUGCUAUUGGUAUGUGUUACCAAUAUGAUUAUGCAAUGAACAUGAUAUUAAGAUUGUGCAAGUACUUCCAUGUAAUAUGAAAUCCUUUCCAUGCAAUACAUUGUUGAUAACCAUACUUAGUAUGAGAUCCCUACUUAUGAUAUUAUAAAUUGUGGACCCCUCUUAUAAUCAAGUCAGUCAUGUGUGUCAGUUUUCUUUCACCGAGUCCUGGGGGUACUUGUACCCAAAAACUAUAGCUGUGUGCCUAGAUCCAUGUCAUGUUUCACAAUAUCCAAACUCAAGCUAUAAUUCCAUAGACUUCAGUCAGUCAAGUUACUCAGGAAAACCUCAUGAUCUUAGUCAGUUGUCUGAUAUUAGUAACAUUCUGCCAGUCAAUGGAAUUCAGUAAGAUUAAGUCUUGCACAGUCAGUUAUUCAUGUCGAGUCCCUCCAGAUGGGAGUAGAGGUUUGCACCGAGUACACCCAAGGAUGGGAACUCACCCGCCAGUGAGUGUGAUUCUUAGUAGUCAUCCUUGUGUUCUAGAACUACGUAGCCAGUGUAGGUUAAGGCAUCUUAACCUAUCACAUUAGGGUUGAUGAGGUGGAUUAAACUAUCAGUUUAGGGUUCCCACCAUUCUCAUUAAGUACCCGCCAGAUAAGGGUCAUUCACAGGAUGUCCUUACCCGUGGCACGGUAUUGAAUCCCUUCCAGUCAGGGCAGAAAUUGGACCCCAGCUUAGCCAUAAUGGCAUACAUGGGGUAUGUCGGUUAAACAUUACUUCCCACAGUUUUAGUAUCAGUCUCAGUAAAAGAACUCAGGGCGUUCUUCAGAUUUUAGAAUAUACAGGACUGUCAGAUACAGUCGUUUAUGUUAUUAGUUUUAGUAUCAGUCAUGAUUGUUAUCAGUAAACUAUGUAUUAGCUUACAGGUCAUGCUAUCAUGUAUUCACGGUCCCAGUUUCUAUAUAUGUGUGUUUGCACUCCCACAUUCAUAUUAGUCAGUCAGUGUCGUUCAUGCAUGAAACCCUUUAUGUUUAGCCUACCUUCCUCGUAUACUUAGUACUCCGGUUGUACUGAUGCAUUUGCGCUAUGGUGCUUUCUUUUUAUGUUACAUCAUAGGUUCUAAGACACGAGCUCCUACCCAGCAGUAGCGGUAGCAUUCCAAUCACGGAGAUACAGUGAGUCCUCAUUGAUUCGAGGACAAUAUGAUUUGAUUUAUUUAUUUAUUUAUUCAGUUAAGUUUUAUGGAGUUAGUUGGAGACAUGUUCUUUCAACUCCUUAUUCAGAUAGUUUAGAGGCUUUCAGAUUUAUGUUCAGAUUUACGUUCAGAUUGAGUUGUUUUGGGUAUUUUCACCCAUAUGGUUUUAUUCAGUUGAACCUUAUGGCCUUAUUAGAGUCUUGUACAUGGAUGUGUUGCGCGCCACAUUUAUGUGUGGGAGGCUAUAAGAUAUUUUAGGAACAGUCCCCUUUCUUCAUUAUUCAUGUCAUGCUAGUGAGCAUAAUCACAAGUUAAACUCUCAGUCUAAUCCAUUCUUCUCUUAUUCCAGACCAUGGCCCCAAAGAGAAUAAACCAGCCAGCUCCUCAGCCCAAAGAUCCUUUGGGCGAACAUGUUUCCCAUGCAGAGUUUAGAGCUGUAUUUACCACACUUGCUCAGUCCAUGGCUGCACAGACUGAAUGGCCACCAGUUAUUUCGACCAAUCCAUUAGCCAAUCCCAAAGCACCUAGGGUUCGGUACUUCUCCCGGAUGAAACCUCCAUCUUUCCAUGGUUCUAAGUCUGAUGAGGACCCUCAGGAGUUCAUUGACCAAGUACAGAAGGUCAUUGAAAUCAUUGGUGUUACUUCUAUUGAGAGUGCUGAGUUAGCCACCUACCAGUUACAGGAUGUUGCUCAUGAUUGGUACAAAUAGUGGAAGUCUGAGAGGUUAGAUGAUACAGGCCCUAUCGAGUGGAAGGAAUUUGUCAUAGCCUUCUUAGUUUUUUUACUUUCACCAAGAGCUAAGGAAAGCCAAAGUUCUUGAGUUCAUCAACCUCAGGAAAGGGAAUAUGAUGGUUAGGGAGUGUUUUCUCUGAUUUACUCAGCUAGCCAGGUAUGCUCCUCAUGUAGUUGCAGAUAAUAGAGCUAAGAUAAGAAAGUUUGUGUCAGGGAUCAACGAUAGCGUGGUAAAUGAGUAUAGGUCUAUGAUGCUGAUUGGUAAUAUUACCUUAGCUAGACUCAUGACCUAUGCCCAGCAAGUAGAAGAGCAAAAGUUUAAGACUAGGGAGAGGCAGAACAAAAGAGCAAGGUCAGGUAAUUUCAACUUUGCUCACCCCAAGUCAGAUGGAGGAAACCGUUCACAAUUUUGCUCUAAUUCAGCCAUUCCAACUUCUUCCUUUGCCAAUGCUCCAGUGCCAAAGUUCAGAGACGGCAAUAGAGAUAAAACGCCAGGCUCUAAAUCUCAGGGUAGUGUUAGCAGUACCCGAACGAAUCCCCUUUGUCAGACUUGUGGUAAGAACUACAAGGGAAUUUGCUGAGCCGGUAGUGAUGUCUAUUUUGGUUGUGGUAAGCCAGGCCACAGGAUUAGGGAGUGUCUGCAGUCAAGUCUUCAGGGUCAACAAAAUCAUUCUACAGCUCAGUCCAGUCGCCCAAACCAGUAGGGUGCCAUUUCCAGUGCUUCCGGUGGGCAACGCUCAAACAUACUCUAUGCUCUUCAGUCUCGGCAGGAUCAGGAAAAUUCUCCUGAUGUCGUUACUAGUAUGUUACAGAUUUUCCAUGUUUAUGUUUAUGCUUUGCUAGACCCAGGUGCAUCUUUGUCUUUUGUUACUCCAUACAUAGCAGGCAAUUUUGGAAUUAGUUCCGAAGUCCUAGCAGAGCCUUUCUCAGUCUCUACCCUAGUGGGUAAAACCAUCAAAGCUCGGCGGGUAUACAGGAACUUUCCGGUUAUGAUAUCUCUGAAAUCUAUAUCAGCAGAUUUAUUGGAGUUAGAGAUGACUGAUUUUGAUGUCAUUCUCGGCAUGGACUGGCUUUAUUCCUGUUAUGCCACAGUCGACUGCAGAAAUAGGAUAGUUUAAUUUCAGUUCCCGAAUGAGCUCAUCCUAGAGUGGAAGGGUAGUAUUUCAGCGUUCAGGGGUCAACUUGUUUCCUACCCCCGGGUAAGAAAAAUGAUUUCUAAGAGGUGUGUGUAUCAUCUCGUGCAUGUUAAAGAUUCCAGUUCUGAAUAUCUCAGCCUUGAAAUAGUCCCUGUUGUUAAUGAAUACUCAGAUAUCUUUCCCGAAGAUCUUCCAGGCAUUCCUCCCUAAAGGGAAAUAGACUUUGGCAUAGACCUUCUUCCAGAUACUCAAACUAUUUUUAUUCUGCCAUACAGAAUGGAACCAGCAAAACUCAAGGAACUAAAAGAUCAGUUGAAGGAUCUCUUAGAUAAGGUAUUCAUCAGACCUAGCAUUUCCCCAUGGGGUGUGCCAGAAUUAUUCAUGCGCAAGAAAGACGGUUCUCUUAGGAUGUGUAUUGAUUAUCAUCAACUCAACAAGGUCAUGUUCAAGAACAGAUAUCCUCUUCCCAGGAUUGAUGAUCUAUUCGACCAACUUCAGGGUGCCAGUUACUUCUCCAAGAUAGACCUCAGAUCAGGCUAUCAUCAGCUCAGAGUUAGAGAAUGUGAUAUUUUGAAGAUAGCUUUUCGUACUCGGUAUGGUCACUUUGAAUUUUUAGUCAUGUCAUUUGGUCUUACCAAUGCCCUAUCAACUUUUAUGGAUUUGAUGAACCGUGUGUUCAAGCAGUAUUUGGAUAUAUUUGUCAUAGUCUUCAUAGAUGAUAUUCUAGUCUAUUCUUGUACAGAGCGUGAUCAUGCAGACCAUCUCAGGAUUGUUCUUCAGACUCUCAGGGAUCACCAAUUAUUUUCUAAGUUCAACAAGUGUGAAUUUUUUCUAAGAUCAGUAGCAUUCCUUGGCCAUAUUGUUUUCGGGAUGGAAUUAGAGUAGAUCUUCAGAAAAUCGAGGCAGUAAGAAACUAGCCCAGACUCGUAUCUACAUCAGAUAUUAGGAGUUUCUUGGGUUUGGCUGGCUAUUAUAGAUGGUUUGUCGAGGGAUUUUCUUCUAUUACAUCUCUCAUGUCCAGAUUGACUCAGAAGAAGAUUAAGUUUCAGUGGUCAGAUUCAUGUGAGAAGAGCUUUCAAGAGUUGAAGACUCGACUCACCUCCGCUCUAGUUCCAGCUAUUCCAGAUGGUUCAGAGAGUUUUUUAGUCUAUUAUGAUGCAUCCAGAGUGAGUUUAGGUUAUGUCCUCAUGAAGUAUGGUAAGGUCAUAGCCUACGCCUCCAGAUAGUUAAAGCCACAUGAGAAGAAUUAUCCUACUCAUGAUCUUGAGUUAGUAGCGGUAGUUUUUGCCUUGAAGAUUUGGAAGCAUUAUCUCUAUAGAGUUCAUGAAGAUGUCUUCACAGACCAUAAAAUCCUCCAGUAUGUCUUUUCCCAGAAAGAUCUCAAUCUUUGCCAGAGAAGGUGGUUAGAGCUCUUGAAGGAUUACGACAUGAGUAUUCUUUAUCAUCCGGGCAAGGCCAAUAUUUUGGUCGACGCUCUCAGUCGACUCUCCAUGGGUAGUAUUUCUCAUGUUAUGGAUAGUAAGAAAAAGAUAGCUCAGGAGAUCCAUCAGCUUGCUAGACUAGGCGUUUGCUUAGUCGAUUCUUCAAAGGUUGGUGUAUGUGUUCAUAGUAGUUUAGAGUCAUCUCUAGUUUCCAAGGUGAAAGAGAAAUAAGACAGGGAUCCUAGCCUUGUUAUGCUCAAAGAGUCAGUUUAGAAUCAGAAAUUUGAGGUUUGUCCCCAGGGGGAGAUGGUGUUCUUCAUUGUCAGGGUCGUUUAUGUGUUCCAGGUGUAGAUGAAUUGAGGUAGAGAAUACUUGCAGAAGCGCAUGGUGCACGAUAUUCUAUUCAUCCAGGGGCCACUAAGAUGUACCGCGACAUGCGGGAGAUCUAUUGGUGGAGUGGGAUGAAAAGAGAUGUUGCAGAGUUUGUGGAUAAGUACUCUAUAUGUCAGCAGGUUAAGAUAGAGCAUCGGAAACCUAGUGGUUCCAUGCAAGAGUUCACCAUUCCUACUUGGAAGUGGGAAGAAUUUAACAUAUACUUCGUGAUGGGUUUGCCUAGAACUCGUCAUCAGCAUGAUUCAGUCUGGGUCAUUAUAGAUAGAAUGACCAAGUUAGCUCAUUUCCUUCCUGUUUGUACUUCUUAUUUUGCGGAGGAUUAUGCCAAACUCUAUAUCAGGGAGUUGGUCAUAUUACACAGUGUUCCACUAUCUAUCAUCUCAGACAGAGGUACCCAGUUCACUUUUCACUUUUGGAAAGCGUUCCAAAAGGGCCUCGGUACCCAAGUCCAUCUCAGUACAAUAUUUCAUCCUCAAACAGAUGGUCAAGUAGAGAGGACCAUUUAGACUCUUGAAGAUAUGGUAAGGGCGGGUACAAUUGACUUCAAGGGAAGUUGGGACGACCAUUUGCCUUUGAUUGAGUUUACAUACAACAAUAGCUAUCAUUCUAGUAUUCAGAUGGCUUCAUUCGAAGCUCUUUAUGGUAGGAGAUUUAGAUCUGGGAUUGGUUGGUUUGAAGUUAGUGAGGCCUCAAUCAUAGGUCCUGACUUAGUAUACGACACCUUAGAGAAAGUUUAGUUGAUCAGAAAGAGACUCCGGCUGCUCAGAGCCGACAGAAGUCCUAUGCAGAUAUUCGUAGAAAGGAUCUUGAGUUCGAGGUCAAUGACUAUAUCUAUCUUAAUAUCUCUCCCAUGAAGGGAGUGAAGAGGUUCGACAAGAAAGGGAAACUCAGUCCUCGGUAUGUCGGUCCCUUUAGAAUUCUUUGUCGCUUUGGCAAGGUAGCUUAUGAGCUUGAGUUGCCUUCAGAUCUAGCCUCUAUCCAUCCAGUCUUCCAUGUCUCUUUGCUAAAGAAGUGCAUAGGUGACCCAGCAGUUGUUGUCCCUAUUCAUAGCAUCGACAUUCAGAAUAGCCUCUCCUAUGUAGAGAUUCCAGUUGAAAUCUUAGAUUAUCAGACUCGUAGAUUGAGGAACAAAGAAGUCCCUCUAGUCAAGGUUCUUUGGUGAAAUCAGUCUCCUGAGGGAGCUACUUGGGAAGCAGAAGCAGAUAUGCGUACCAAGUAUCCUUACCUCUUCCCCGCCAAUUCAGAUCAAGCUCAAGGUAACAGUUUUCCUUAAUCUUAUUUAGUUUCACGCUCAUGUUUCCAUUAUAAACUUGGUACCUAUUAACCUUUUCAUACUCAGUCAUGCAUUCAUAUGUCAGUUGUCCGUGCAUCAGAUAUGCACGAGAUUAGUAUGUUUAGCAUGUCAGUCAUGAGAUCAAGUUUUAGUUCUUCAUGUUCAGUUUAGGUUCUAUUGUCUUGUAUCCCUUCUCAGUAUAUUCUCAUUCGAGGACGAAUGUUCCUAAGGGGGAGAUAUUAUAAUACCCCGCAUGUUUCAAAGCUAGGAAGUGAAUAAGUAUUCCUACGUAUGAAAUCUCCUAUCCUAUGAUUCAUACUUGAGUACAUGACUUACAAUGAAUAUCUUAGUGAUAGGAUAGCUUAUGAUGCAUUAAGCAUGUUCAUAUGAGUCACUUAAGGUAAUACAAGCUAAGAGUUUUUGAAUCCAACAAGUUUUAGUGUUCGAUUUUUCAAGGGUCAUCUUUGAACGAGUAUAAGUCGAUGUUAAUAUGGUAUUUUGGCUGAUUUAUACCCACCAAAUUUUAGAGAAUCGAAUUAGCUUUCCAACGAUACCAAUUUUGCCUCAAUCCAAUACCCAAGCAAAAAGUUAUGCCCAUUUUUGUGAGAGAUUAGGCGCCGCCCAACCCAAGCAUUGGCGAUUGGUUAGGCGCCACCCAACCUAGCUUAGGCAAUCACUUGGGCACCUCCUAAGUCAGUUCUAGGUGCCAAAAACACUCCGUUUAGAGUUAUUUUAAGGGUAAUUAAGUCUUUUAACACUCCUUACACGUCCCUAAACUUAACCCUAUGAAAUAUAUAACUUCUAAACAUAUUACAACCCUAGUAUCAUCUCAAAGCUCAUCAUCCAAGAGCACUAAAAGAGAAAAANNNNNNNNNNNNNNNNNNNNNNNNNNNNNNNNNNNNNNNNNNNNNNNNNNNNNNNNNNNNNNNNNNNNNNNNNNNNNNNNNNNNNNNNNNNNNNNNNNNNNNNNNNNNNNNNNNNNNNNNNNNNNNNNNNNNNNNNNNNNNNNNNNNNNNNNNNNNNNNNNNNNNNNNNNNNNNNNNNNNNNNNNNNNNNNNNNNNNNNNNNNNNNNNNNNNNNNNNNNNNNNNNNNNNNNNNNNNNNNNNNNNNNNNNNNNNNNNNNNNNNNNNNNNNNNNNNNNNNNNNNNNNNNNNNNNNNNNNNNNNNNNNNNNNNNNNNNNNNNNNNNNNNNNNNNNNNNNNNNNNNNNNNNNNNNNNNNNNNNNNNNNNNNNNNNNNNNNNNNNNNNNNNNNNNNNNNNNNNNNNNNNNNNNNNNNNNNNNNNNNNNNNNNNNNNNNNNNNNNNNNNNNNNNNNNNNNNNNNNNNNNNNNNNNNNNNNNNNNNNNNNNNNNNNNNNNNNNNNNNNNNNNNNNNNNNNNNNNNNNNNNNNNNNNNNNNNNNNNNNNNNNNNNNNNNNNNNNNNNNNNNNNNNNNNNNNNNNNNNNNNNNNNNNNNNNNNNNNNNNNNNNNNNNNNNNNNNNNNNNNNNNNNNNNNNNNNNNNNNNNNNNNNNNNNNNNNNNNNNNNNNNNNNNNNNNNNNNNNNNNNNNNNNNNNNNNNNNNNNNNNNNNNNNNNNNNNNNNNNNNNNNNNNNNNNNNNNNNNNNNNNNNNNNNNNNNNNNNNNNNNNNNNNNNNNNNNNNNNNNNNNNNNNNNNUACUUAUGAUAUUAUAAAUUAUGGACUCUACUCUUAUGAUCAAGUUAGUCAUGUGUGUCAGUUUCUUUCCAUCGCGUCCUGGGGGUACUUGUACCCAAAAACUAUAGUUGUGUUCCUAGAGCCAUGUCAUGUUUCACGAUAUCUGAACUCAUGCUAUGAUUCCAUAGACUUCAGUCAUUCAUGUGACUCAGGAAAACCUCAUGAUCUUAGUCAGUUGUCAGACAUCAGUAACAUUCUGCCAGUCAACGGAAUUCAGUAAGAUUAAGUCAUGCACAAUGAGUUAUUCAUGUCCAGUCCCUCCAGAUGGGAGUAGAGGUUAGCACCGAGUGAACCUAAGGAUGAGAACUCACCCGCCAGUUCAGGGUAUAAUUCUUAGUAGUCAUCCUUGUGUUCUAGAAAUACGUAGCCAGCGUAGGUAGAGACAUCUUAACCCAUCAGAUUAGGGUUGAUGAGGUGGCUUAACCCGUAAGUUUAAGGUUCCAACCAUUCUCAUUGAGUACCCGCCAGAUAAGGGUCACUCACAGGUUGUCCUUACACAUGGCACGGUAUUGACACUCCUCCAGUCGGGGCAUAGAUUGGGCCGCAGCUUAGCCAUAACGGCAUACAUGGGGCAUGUCGGUUAAACACUACUUCCUACAGUUUCAGUAUCAGUCUCAGUAAAAGAACUCAGGGCGUUCUUCAGAUUUUAGUGUAUACAGGACUGUUUGAUACAGUUAUUCAUGUUAUCAGUUUCAGUAUUAGUCAUGACAGUUAUCAGUAAAAUAUGUAUUAGCUUACAGGUCAUGCUAUCAUGUAUUCACGGUCCCAGUUUCUAUAUAUGUGUGUUUGCACUCCCACGUUCAUAUUAGUUAGUCAGUGUUGUUCAUGCAUGAAACCCUUUAUGUUUAGCCUACCUUCCUCAUAUACUCAGUACUAUAGUUUUAUUGACGUAUUUGCGCUAUGGUGUUUUCUUUUCAUGUUACACCAUAGAUUCCGAGACACGAGCUCCAGCCCAGUAGUAGAGGUAGCAUCCCAGUCACAGAGACAUAGUGAGUCGUCAUUGAUUCGAGGACAGUAUGAUUUGAUUCAUUUAUUUAUUUCUUCAGUUCAGUUUUACGGAGUUGGUAGGAGACAUGUUCCUUCAACUCUUUAUUCAAAUAGUUUAGAGGCUUUCAAAUUUAUGUUCAGAUUUACGUUCAGAUUGAGUUGUUUUGGGUAUUUUCACCGACAUGAUUUUAUUCAGUUGAACCUUAUGGCCUUACAAUUCUAUGUAUUCCGCAUUAUUAUAUCAUGAUUUGCAGUAUACAGGUACAGAUAUCAGUCAUGGGUUAGCUUGUAGUCCCUCGGGGUCAUGAGUACCGUGUAGCAUUUCGGUUCAGCGAAUCAGGGUGUUACAUAAUGCUGCCUCAAAUCACGGUAUAUCUUGGUUGCACCAGGAUGUAUAGAAUACUUCGAAUAAUGAGCCCCAUCUAGAAUAAUGGGAAUAAAAUCAUCAACAGGAGGUACAAAAUCUCAUCCCUUAAUCUGCAACACACCGUCACCAUCAAGAAUGUCCUUCUUGACGUUACCUAGCAAAACCUUAUCACGAAUCUUUCUCAACUUAGCGUCCUUAAAUUGGUUAGCAUUAAUUUGAUUAAGAAAUUUAGAACUUGCCUCAAUGCUGGCUAGAAUUCCUCCUCUCUCAGUCACUUCAAGUCAAUAAACUUUUUAGCAAGAGUUUGAAUCUGUCUAGCCAACGGACGCCUGCUAGCAUUCAAAUAAGCCAAACUACCCAUACUUUCUGACUUUCUUCACAAUGCAUUAGCGACCAUAUUAUCCUUUCCCAGAUGGUAGAAAAUGGUGAUAUCAUAAUCUUUAAGCAACUCUAUCCAUCUAUGCUGUCUCAAAUUCAAAUCCCUCUGCGUGAAUACAUAUUUUAAACAAGGUGAUCAGUGAACACUUCACAAUGAACCCCAUAUAAGUAAUGCCUCCAUAUCUUAAGAGAAAAAACCACAACAACUAACUUCAAAUCAUGAGUGGGAUAAUUAUUCUCAUUGGGUUUCAAUUGCCUCAAAGCAUAAGCAAUAACAUUCAUUUCCUGCACCAACACAACACCUAAACCAGAAUGUGAGGUAUCACAAUAAAUAAUAAAAUCCUUAGCCCCUACCGACAAGGAAAGAAUAGGAGCGGUAGUCAAAAAGGUCUUGAGCUUUUGAAAAAUCUGCUCACACUUAUCAGACCAAAUAAAAGGUAUAUCCUUCUGAGUCAACCGCGUCAUAUGAGUAGCAAUAGAAGCAAACCCCUUCACGAACCUGCAGUAAUAACUCUCUAAGCCAAUAAAGCUGCAAUCCUCUGUCACUGAAGUAGGCCUAGACUAAUUCUUAACUUCUUCAAUCUUCUGCGGGUCUACCAUCACCUCUUCCUUUGAAACCACAUGCCCCAAAAAGUAUACAUAAGCCAACCAGAACUCACACUUAGAAAACUUUGCAUAAAGAUCUUUCUCUUUUAACAAACCCAAAAUAAUCCUUAAGUAAUUCUUAUUCUCAUCUUUAUUCUUAGAAUAAAUUAGAAUCUCAUCAAUAAAGACAAUCACGAAAGAAUCCAAGUAGUAUUUAAAUAUCCCAUUCAUCAAACUCAUAAAAGUAGCUGGGGCAUUAGUCAGCCCAAAAGAUAUCACAAGAAACCAUAGUGCCCAUACCUAGUUUGGAAAGCAGUCUUAGGAAUAUCGUCAGGCCGAAUCUUAAGCUGAUGAUUCUUGGACCUUAAAUCAAUCAUAAAAAAUAUGGAUGCACCUUGUAUUGGUCAAAACAAUCAUUGAUACGGGGCAACAAAUACUUAUUAUGGAUCGUACCAUUGUUCAACUGCCUGUAGUCUUUACACAUUCAAAGACUACCAUCAUUUUAAUUCACAAACAAGAUAGGAGAACCCCAUAGAGAGGCACUCGGAUGGAUAAAACCCUUACUUAACAAAUCCUGCGACUGAACCUUUAGCUCCCCCAACUCAGUCAGAGCCAUCCUAUAGGAAAGAAUGGAAAUAGGGCGAGUACCUAGCUCUAUAUCAAUAUUGAAAUCAAUGUCACGGUCUAGCGGCAUACCAGGAAUAUAUGCAAAAAAAACAUUAUGGAACUCACACACCAUAGGAACUGACUCAAUAGAUGGGACCUUUGCAGAAGUGUCCCAAGAUGUGCUUGGAAGGCCAAUCAACCUCUCCAAAUUAACCUCUUUGCACGCAGAAAGGAAAUUAGUUUCAUUGGAGAAGGACUAUAAUCAACCUCCCACUCAAGUCUAUCCAUUCCUGCCAUAGCCACAGUUACUGUCUUAGAAUGAUAAUCUAAUAUAGCAUGAUAUGGAGACAACAAACUCAUACCCAAAAUUAUAUCAAAAUCUACCAUUUCUAUAAUCACUAAAUCUUCCCAAGUUUGAUACUCUAUAAACAUAAGAAAACAAGAAUAAUAAACUCUAUCAACAACAACAGAAUCACCAACAGGAGUAGACAAGUAAAUUGGAAAGUCAAGAAAAUCACACACCAUGUCCAAUCCCACAGCAAACGUAGAAUACAUGCAUAAAAAAGUAGAGCCAGGAUCAUAUAAUAUAGUGGCUGUCUGGCCAUAAAAAAUAAUUGUACAUAUAAUAAUAGACUAACACCAGUCUGAACAUCACCCUUGCCAAGCUGACCACCACCUUGAUGGGGCUGAUUACCACCCCUACCUACCAGAUGACCACCACGACCACCCUGUGGAUGAGCUCUACCAUUUCUACUACCUCCCACACCUACUAAAACGAGAGCUCUAGGAGCCUGCUAUUGGCUAGACUGGCAAAAAAAUCCUCACAUUAGGACAAAACCUCCUAACAUUACCGACUUUGCCAUAUUUGUAACAUAUACGAUCCAAGAUAGGAUAUUGAGCUUAUGAAGAUGAAGCGAGAUAACCACCAAAGUCCAAAAAUGGCUGGCUAGCUCCUGACGAACCACCCACAACAUCGGAUGGAGUGGGCAGGGUAUCCCUGUGAACUCUGACCACUGGAAUAAGAACCACUAAAACUUUCUCCUCUAUGGGCUUUUUUUCUGAUGCCUUAGUAUAACCCUCUUGCCUUAUGCCCUCUACCUUCUUGACAAAAUUAACUAUGUCCUGGAAAGACCUACCUGAAGAUGUCAUCUGAAGAGUAGAACUCUGGAGACCUAUAUUAAACCCCUUCACAAAAAGAUGGAUCCUCUCCUCCUUAGUUUUUAGCAAGAUAGAUACAUACGGAGACAAUGAAUGAAUUUUGGCCUCACAGGUUGCAACUGAUAUGUUCCCCUGCUUCUGAUUAGCAAACUCAUCCCUUUUUCUAUCUCUUAAAGUAUGAGGCACAUACUUUUCUAGAAAAAUUAAGUAAAAUCGUGUCCAAGUCAAGGGAGCAAAAACUGCACUCCUACAUUCAACAUAGGCCCUCCACCACAUCUUGGUGCCCGUAAAAUUGAAAAGUAACUAGUUCUACACCAUAACACUCAACCACACCUAUCUUGGGCAGCCUUUAAUGACAGUGAAUAAUAAACUCGUAGGCAUCCUCGAACUUAGUUUUGUAAAAAAUAGGGGUUUUCAUCUUGAUAAACUUAUAGAAUAACUCAUGCUCAUCUUCGAUUAUCACCGUACCCACUACCUAUCUUGGAAAAAUAUCUGAUCCUGAUGCUUCGUCCAUCUGAGGGGAUACAACAACAACAUGUUGCAUCCUAUGCUGGACUAUGGCUGCUGCAAGCAUAGUCCCUGAUCCUACCAAAUUACUUAGAAAACUUAGAACCUGCUGAAUCACAGCGACAGACAUCAGAAUUGGAGCUGCUCCUAUCAGAAUUGAUGCAGCCCCAUUAUGAACCAACACUUGCUUAUUCUAUACUAGCAUAUCUCCAUCUUCUGCAACCUUAGGUAGGAGAGAAGAUACUGGCCUCUCUCUAGCUAGUCUCAUAGAUUGAGCUCUGCCUCUAGUGGAUGCAACUCUUCAUCCUUUACUUUGUUCUUCUCUUGCCUGGUUUUUACCUAUAACUGCAGCCUUAACAGCCCAUUCAUGCACCUAAACUCUCACCCCAUUCUUUUGAGUUCUUACCAUCUGCGAAAAAAGAGUGAAAGAAGUUAGAUACAAUUUGGAAUCAGGAGAUACCAAUUAAAAUCAAGUAAUAGCAAUUAAGAAAGAAGAAUUGAUUUUUUCUAUUGCCCUAUAGCCUAUCCAAGAAAUGUACAGACGUCUCUGUAUCAUUUCACAAGACUCUACUUAAAAUGUUCUCGUAUGAAAAGAAUGACGAACCUAGGGCUUUGGUACCAACUUUGUCAUGACCAAAAUGGCCAUGAGUGUCACCCACACUAAUCUUUCUAUGGGGAACUAUCUAAAUCAAACUAUUACCCAACACAUAGUCAAUACUGAGAUGACAUUAUCAUAAAAUCAACAUAAUGACAAUAAUCCAGGACUAAUCAUUAUUAAUGCGAAAGUUAAACAAACUACUUACUAAAAUCCCCAAGACCCGAAAGUCAACGUACAAGAACUACUAACAAAGAUCAUGUCUAAAGAGAUAUAAAAAAAUAAAGUAAAUAAAGAAUGUAUUUAUUGCCUAAAAUAUGGACAAGAACAAAUGAGAUGACCCAUGGCAGCCUGAAGAUGGAGUACCCACCCUUGGAUCAAGAUCUACUAUCAAACUCUAUAGGUGAGGUCGUGUCUAAGCCUCUGGAUCGCUUUUUGCACUCAACAAAAGAAUAGUAUAGGGUAUUAUCAGUACAAACCACUAUAUACGGGUAGACAUCAUAUGAAAACUCAACUUAAUAGCAUGUACACAACAUAAAUCAAAUAAUAAGUAGACAUGCAUCAUCACAUAACAACAAUUCAACGAAUCAACAACAUAGUAAUAACAGUUCAAAAAAUACUUACAACUAAGCCACAUAACCAUUAAUAGUAUCAACCAAACUAUAAACAUCCACAUAAUAAACACAAAUAUGUACACACAUGCUAUGAGACUUAUUUUUGCCCAAAUAGUCAUGACCUGUAUGGAAUAAUCUAUGUUCAUGUACUGUACCUACGUGGUACCUGAUCCAGCAUAUACAUAUCUGUAUCGACAUGGUACUAGAUCCAUCAUAUACAUAUCCAUAACAGUGUGGUACCCAAUCUAAUAUAUACAUAUCCAUACUGUCAUGGUAACCGAUUCAACAUAUACACAUCAGUACCAGCAUAGUACCCAAUCCUACAAAUACACAUCUUCACUGGAGUGGUACCCGAUCUAACAUAUACAUAUCCAUACCAGAGCGGUACCCAGUCCAAUACACACAUCUGCACCGGAGUGGUACCUGAUCCAAUAUAUACACAUCUGUACUGGCAUAGUACCCGAUCCAACAUAAACAAGUAAUAGCAAAAUAAAAUUUAUGCUACCUCAUAUCACAUAAUACAGAGUACCAAGUUUAUAAGUACACUUAAAGUCAUAAGUUAAUUUCAUCAAGUAAAUUUUCAAUAAUCAUUUAUACACGCCUCAAUAAUCCAAACAUCAUCAAUUUUAAGCAUGUCCAAAUAACAAUCAACAAGUAUCCAAUUUAGGAGUAUACAUACAAUUAAAUCAAGUCUAAAUUCCAAUAAAACUGUAACCUACCUCAAUCGAAGAAUCCAAAUGAAAGCUAUUUUGUAAAAGUCUUGUCUUUUCGUAAAGUUUCUGAAUGAUCACAACCUAUUCAAAUAUAUAAUCCCUAUAAAAUUGUAAUGCCCCAAGACUGCACCCUGGGUGUCACACAGUUCUUACGGCCCUAAUAGACCACAAGCUAACCCAUGACUGGUACCUACUAUGAGCACUGAAUAUAGUACUGAAAUAUAUAUAUGUGGAAGAAAUAUAAAAAUGCCAUAAGGUUCUAAAAAUACUGAAAUAAUAGUAACUGAGCAUAACUAAUAAUAACAUCUUAAAACUAAAUAACUAUCUAUGCUAGUUUGAAAGCCUCUAACUGUCUGAAUAUGGAGUUGAUGGGACAAACCUCCAACUAACUCCAGCUAAAAUAACUACUAAACUACUAGAAUACUAAAAUAAGUAAACUCUAUCCCCGAAAUAGGAGGACUCACCACUAUAACGGCUAUUGAUAGAUUGAGCUGCUUUGUACGAUUUGGAACCUGAGCAUCCGAACCUGUGAUAUGAGACAUCAUAAUACAAAGAAAGAGUAUGCAUCUGCAACGCCCUAAAAAUGAGUCUCGAAACAUCACAAGGUGAUCAAGAAUAUUAGUAGCCCUAAGCUAACCCUGUUCGACUUCUACUAAGUCUGAAUCUUAUAAUAAGGGAAUAUAAAUAUUAAAAUCAUACUAAAUAUGGAAAUUUAUCUGAGCUAACUGAGAAUAUCUAGAUAUAAUCUUUGAAAAAUACUAGACUAUAUAGUUUGAACAAUUAAUACUGAAUAAUAUGAAUCAUAACUAGCAGUCUAACAAGCCUUGACUACUAAUAACAAGACAGUCACUAGGAUAAACCCCCCAGCUAACUCAAACUAUCUGAAUCAUCUAUACUAAUAAGCUGGAAAACUGAAAGACUAAGUCCCUGAAUUAUGAGGACUCACCAACUGUCGAGAUGUAGAUGGAGAUGCUCAAAAUCACUCACGUUGCUGGAACUAGGCACCUGAACCUACAUUAUGAGACAAUAUAGCAUAUAGAUGUAUAUGUGGAUCAAUACUUUGAGAAUGUACUGAGUAUAUAGGGGUCAAUGCAUAAAUAUAAUAAUAUCUUAACGUCAUUGCAAUUUAUAAAAUAAUGCAUGCUAUAGGUAAAUGACUCACAUAAGUUGUAAUACCUAAAAGUUGAGAAUCAAAAUCAUGAGUAGUAAAUCAUACUUUAUAAAUCCAGUGAGUCAUAACAUUUAGUUCUAAAAGCUAUACUAGUGUUCUGUCUAUAAAUCAUGUUGACUAAGUGUAGAAAGGACUAACUUUUAUAUCUAAACUCUUAAAGCCAAAAUCUGUAGCUAAAGGAUUAUAUAAAGCAAUGUCUGAAUAAAAAUGUGAGCCUUUACACUUAGUUUAUAAAAGUUGUUCUGUUAUUCUUUACUCUUUUUCGUAAGCUAUAGGAAAAAUGUACUCAAAAGCUAUUUAUUUACUUAUACUAUUAGGGAAAUACUUUUAAAAACUAUUCUGAAAGUCUUUACAAUUAGGCUGUAGGGAGGUUCUUCUAACCGACAUAAACCAUAUGAGCUAUCACGGAGUCCAACGACUUAUUUUUUAUGGGAAAACCUCACAUUGCGGAGAGGUGUCAUACUCUUGCCAAAGAGUAUAACCUAAUCUAAGUGAGCACAUCUGUAUCUGUCAUACAUAUAGAAAUGGGAAUAAUCUGAUAAUUUGAAUCUAUAUUUGCUCGUAGUUCUGGGGUAUAAGAACAUACCCAACUUGGUGGUAAAUACUACUCCCUUUAAUCUAUAUGCUCAUUCUCUUGGAAAUCCAUUUUAAAAUCUAGUAUAAUGGUUCAUUACAAAAUCCAACUGUAUAAUUGCUAAGUUAAACUGAAAUCUGAAAUAGUAAUGUGGAUUCAAUGUGUAAGUUGAUAUCCAAGAUCAAAUCUUUAUCAAAAAUCUAAAAAUAAUAUAGUCAUGGGAUGGUUAAAAGCAUAAUCUUCUUUAAAUAGCAAUAUCCAAUUAGGUCUUAAUACCCAUGCAUCAAAUUCAUGUUGAAAUAUAAUAUAAAUUAUGCUUUAUAAUGAAGGUAUUGACAAUUCAUCUCAAAAUCUAGAAUAUACUACAAUACGCAUGAAAAUACGAAAAUAGACAUGCAAUUCAACUUCUAGAUCACUUGAAAUCUCAUAAUCUUGCAAAUAACAAUAAUGCGUAUGAACUCUAAUUUGAAACUCAUGUAUAUUCAUACAAAAUCAUGUAAAUUUGUAAUUAAAAACUAGUUUUGGGGACAAGGAUGAAAGAAUAUCCUUGUUCAUAAACCUAACAUACCUUGAUUGAUGAAAUUGAAUACAAAGUUUGAUCUUGAAUUCCUAUUUAAGCUUUUGAAGAUGCCCUCUUAAAGUUCUUGAAUUGGUAAUCCUUAAUUUUAAGCUAUCUUGGAAAAAUAGUGGAGGAAAUUGGAUUUCUUGGAGGUUAAGUUUUGAGCUCUAGGGUUUUCUUUGAGAAAGAAUUGAUGAAAAACAAGCAUAAAGUGCUUAGAAUGAGCUGAAUCUUGUGUUAUCCAUGAAUUAGGGGCUUGGGAAUUGACCAAAUUACCCUUUUAAAAUUUAACUCAGAAAAUUGGAAGCCGAUUUUUCCACCCACCGCGAUGUGCCACCAUCACAGUGGCUUACUGGAAAUUGAAAAAUGGGAACUGGAAAAUAAAGGUGACGUGAAGCUAUCGCGUUAAGCCACUUAAAUGCUAUUUAGGCCGUUAUUGAAAUGCAGUACCAUCGCGUUGGGCUACUAGAUUCUGAUAAUCGGGAAAUAGGACUUCAACAUGACAUGAUACAAUCGUGGAGGUCCAAUAAAAAUUGACAAUUGCGAUUUUGUCCUUCACCGUGAUGUGGUGCUUGUUGAAAUGCUAUACUGUUUUACUAAAGUUGCCAUAAAUUCUCAAACGAGUAUCGGAUUAAGGCAAAAUUAGUAUCGUUGGAAAGCUGAGCCAAUUAUCUACAUAUUGGUGGGUGUAGAACUUGAAAAUUCUAUAUGUAUAAAAGUUUAUUCACUUUUGAAGCUAACCCUUCACAUUAUAUGAGCUAAAUUGAGCUAGGAAAAAGUGCAGGGUAUUACAUUAUCUCUCUCUUGGGAACAUUCAUCCUCGAAUCAUGCUGGCUAAACUAAAAAUUCUAAGGAAUCUGAGGCUAUAUGCUAACAUGCACAACUGAAACAAACUUCAUGACUUAAUCUAGAACAUACUGAAUGACCGAGCUAAUCUGAGAGUGCAUGAAUUUACAUGAGGAUGACUAAAUAGGUGAAUCUGAUACUGGAAAUGAAUCGAGUUAAGGAAAACUAUUACCUUAAGCUGAAUCUAAGUUCUUGGAGAAGAGAUAAGGAUACUUGGUAUGCGUGUCUGCUUCUGCUUCCCAAGUAGCACCCUCAACAGACUAAUUUCACCAUAAAAAUUUGACCAAGGGAACUUCUUUGUUCCUUAGUAUUCAAAUUCUAUGAUCAAGAAUCUCUACUGGAACUAACUUCUUCGUAUGAAAGUCUAUUUUGAAUAUGUGUACUGUCUAGAUGGAAUACAAUAGCUGAAUCAUCCAUGCACUUCUUCAAUGACACAUGAAACACUGGAUGAACUGAGGACAAAUCUGCGGGUAACUCAAGCUCAAACUCUACCUUUCCCACGCGACUCAAAAUCUUGAUGGGGACUACAUAUUAGGGACUAAGCUUCCCCUUUUGCCAAAUCUCUUAACCCCUUCUUGGGUAAAACUUUCAAAUAAACAAGUUCAUCAAAAUAAAACUAAAGAUCUCUUCUUCUUACAUUUGCAUAAGAUUUCUAAAAACUUUGAGUUACUUUUAAACUCUCUUUAAUCAACUAAACUUUCUCCAUAGCUUCAAACACCAUAUCUGGCCCAAUUAAUGCGACCUCACCCACUUUGAACCAAUCGACUGAUGAUCUACAUCUAUGCCCAUAAAAAGUUUCAAACCAGGCCAUCUGAAUACUAGCAUAGUAACUAUUACUGUUGGACAACUCAAGCAAUGGCAUGUGGUCAUCCCAAUUGCUUUUGAAUUCAAGAACAUAUGCCCUCAACAUAUCUUCUAAGGUCUGAAUGGUCCUCUCUAUUUGACCAUCUGUCUGCAAAUGAAAAGCUUAACUAAGAUGAACUUGGGUACCAAGACCCUUCUAAAAGGCUUUCAAAAACUGAGAGGUAAACUGAGUAUCCCUAUCUGAGAUGAUGGACAAUGAAACUCCAUGCAAUCUAACCAACUCUCUAAUGUAUAGCUUAGUAGAAUCUUCUCCUAUGUAGGAUAUGUGAACUAGCAAGAAAUGAGUUGACUUAGUCAAUCUAUCUACAAUAACCAUAUAAAAUCAUGCUGACGAUGUAAAUGGGGUAAUCUAGUCACAAAGUCCAUAUUCACCUCUUCCCACUUCCAAGUGAGGAUACCAAACCCCUAUACUAGAAUCCUUAUGCUGACUUGGUCUUUAACUAACUCCUUUAGUUUGACUAUACUAGAAUCCUUAUCCUGAUUUUCUUUCAAGUCCAAAACUAGAGAAGAUUUAGAAUUACUCUGAACCCAAACAUUCCCUUCAGCUGAAUCAACCAACCUCACACCCAAUCUAUCUAACCUUUGAACUUCCCAAACUAACUCUCUCUUAUCAUUCUUCAUAUGAGCAAUACUUUCCAUAGAAAAUCUACUAAGGGAAUUUUCAACUAUAUUGGCCUUGCUCGGAUGAUUCAACACACUCAUAUCAUAACCUUAAAGAAUUCUAACCAUCUUCUCUGAUGAAGAUUUAACUCCCUCUAAGUACACACAUACUGCAAAGUUUUGUGGUCCGUAAACACAUCAAUAUGUACCCCAUAAAGAUAGUGCCUCCAGAUUUUUAAUGCAAACACUACAACAACAAACUAAAGAUCUUGGGUCAGGUAGUUAUUUUCAUGAAGCUUAACUUGUCUAGAGGCAUAGGCUGUAACCUUACCUCUCUACAUCAAAACACAACCCAGACCAAUUCUAUAAGCAUCAUAAUAGAGAACGAACCUAUUUGUACCAUUAGGUAAUGCUAAAACUUGGGCUGAAGUAAGUCGAGCCUUCAACUCUUGAAAACUCUUCUCAUAGGAAUCUGAUUACUGGAACUUGACUUUCAUUUGGGUCAAUUUGGACAUAGGGGGCGCAAUAGAAGAAAAACCUUUAACAAAACGUCUGUAAUAGCAAGCUAAACCUAAGGAGCUUCUAAAGUCUGAAGGAGAAAUAGGUUUAGGACAAUUCCUUACUGCUUCUAUAUUUUGGGGAUCAACCCUAAUACUGUCGUUGGAAAUAAUAUGACUGAGUAAAACUAAUGAUCUUAGCAAAAUUCAUAUUUGCUGAAUUUGGCAAACUUGUGAUUUCUAAGAGUUUGUAACACAAUUCUAAGGUGGUCUACAUGAUCAUCCUCACUAUGAGAAUAGACAAGAAUAUCAUUUAUAAAGACUAUGUCAAACAUGUCCAAAUACUAUUUGAACACUCUGUUCAUCAAGUUCAUGAAAGCUGCAGGGGCAUUUGUUAGUCUGAAGGACAUGACCAGAAACUCAAAAUUACCAUAACGGGUCCUAAAAGCUAUCUUUAAAAUACCACAUUCCCUUUUUUUAAGCUGAUGAUAGCCGAAUCUAAUGUCUAUCUUAGAGAAAUAACUUGCACCUUGAAGCUGGUCAAAUAAGUCAUCAAUUUUAGGAAGAGGGUAUUUGUUUUUGACUAUGACUUUAUUCAGUUGAUGAUAGUUCACAUUCACACAGACCCAUCUUUCUUUUGCACGAAUAGGAUGAGAGCGCCCCAUGGAGAAAUACUAGGCCUUAUGAAACCUUUAUCUAAAAGAUAUUUGAGCUACUCUUUUAACUCUUUAAGCUCGACUGGAGCAUAUGGUAAGGAGGAAUAAAGAUAGGUUGAGUAUCUAGAAGAAGGUCAAUAGUGAAUUCUAUUUCCCUAUUGGGAGGUGCCCUUGGAAAAUCUGUAGUAAAAAAUCAGAAAAUUCAUUAACUAUAGUGAUUGAUUGAACUGUUGGAGUCUCAGACUUAGUGUCUUUGACCUGAACUAAAUAAUAGAUACACCCUUUUGAGAUUAAUUUCCUGGCUUUAAGAUAGGAUGUGAAAUGACUUUUGGGAGACACUGAAUUUCCUUCCCAGUCAAAGACUGUCUUAUCUGGAAACUAAAAUUUUACCACUCGGGUACGAAAAUCUAUAGAUGCAUAACAUGAAUGGAGGUAAUCCAUGCAUAUAAUAAGGUCAAAGAUGACUAUAUCUAACUCUUUUAGGUUUGCUAACAUGAUUUUAUAAAGGAUAGUGAUAGGAAAAUUUCUAUAGAUCUGUUUGGAAAUAACUGACCCACCCACUAGGGUAGAAAUUAAGAAGGGCUCAGGGAUCUUUUCUAGAACUAUUUCAAAAUUCACUGCAACUAAUGAGGUCAUAUAAGAGAAAUUCAACCCAGGGUCUAACAGCACAUAAAUAUCAAGAUGAAAGACACAAAGCAUACCAGUAACAAUAUCUGGUGAAUCCUUCUGCUCCUGAUAGGAUGGUAAAGCAUAAAAUUGAUUCUAGCACUGAUCACCAUCAAUACUAAAUAAUAAGCCUUGAGGAGGGGCUGGGCAACCAAAAGAAGUUGGUGCACUAGUAGCGUGUGUUUAGGGACGAACAUCCCUUUUGCCCUACUUAGCAUAUGGAAACUAUUUGAUUCCAUGUCCCAACUUACCACAACCAUAACAACCUUUAUGGCCCAACAAAUAGUAACUAUGAUGAAUCUUACCACACUUAGCACAUGGAGGAUAACUUGGCUUUCCACUCGCACUAUUCUGAGAUCUGGACAUAGAAGUCUUACCCCACUGCUCCUGUCUAGCUAUGGGAGCAUGAGCACUAGCUAAAAAUAGCACUGGUAUAGAUGAACAAUUUUGAAACUAUGAACAAUUCCUCCCCCAUACUUUAUUUGGCCAUACUCAAAUUGCCCUAUUCUAGCCUUCUUAUUUCCCCUCUCUCUUUUCUUUAACUUUACUGCCUCAAUUUGCUGAGCAUGAAUCAUCAACCUAGCAAUAUUCAUUUCCCCAAUAAGCAUGGCAGUCCUACACUUAUUGACUGCCAAACUAGAUACUCCAGUAUCAAAUUUACUUAUACUCGCCCUAGGGUUAGCCAUAGUAUCAGGGGCAUACUUAGAUAACUGGUUGAACUUAAGGAAGUACUUUUUCACUAUCAUAGAGCCUGCCUUAGGUUCAAAAACUCCUCUAUCUUAGCUUUUCUCAUUUCAUGCAGAAAAACCUAUAUAGAAAUGUAUUUUGAAAUACUUACAAACUCAUAGGAGCUGCAUUCUCACCUCUGCCAUUCUUCUACAUAACCACCCAAUCAUAUGCUACAUCCUUCAAUCUAUAGGAUGCUAAAUCUAUAUUCUCUGCCUCAGAAACAUGCAUAAUCUGGGUGGUCUUCUCUACCACAUCUAAAUAAAGUUAUGGGUCCUCACAUACUUUUGACCCAAAGAACUCUGGCGUAUUUUUUCUCAUAAAGUCUCAAAUUUUGGCUGCUACUCAAUCACCAUUCUAUUGAAGUGGGAAUGCCACCUGAUGGUUUCCCUAAACAUUAAAAGUCACAACUUGGGCCAACACCUGAAAGGCAGCUCGAAAUUCAGCAUGGGAUCCAUUCUUAUUCAGAGGGUCAGUAGGCUGAGGUUGCUAGUUAUCGUUUCUAUGAGCAUUAUCUCGAUGAGGAGGCAUAUUCAACUGUCACAUAAUAGCACGAGUUAAAAUUACAUAGAGAUACUGUGAGAAUGAUAGAUCAUGAAAGAAAAAGAUGAUUUCUAAAAAUGUCCCGUAGCCUCUUGCUCAUAAAUGUGGUGCACUUUAUACCCAUGCUAAAGACUCUAUGUAAUGUGGCUUGUAUGAAUCCCUAGGACUCUUAUAAACCUUAAUCUAUGAUACAAACUUUGUAAGACCCCAAAAAUGGGUCUCGAGAUACUACACGAUGCUCAAGACUAUGCGUAGCCUCAAGGAAACCCUAUCUUCCUUCUACUAAGUUUGAUUCUCAUAAAAAAAAUUAUAGAUAUAAAAAUCAUACUAAAUAUGGAAAUCUAUCUAAGCUAACUAAAAAUAUCUAAAUAUAAUCUCUGAAAAAUACUCGACUCUAUAUCUUGAACAAUCAAUACUAAAUAAUCUUAAUCAUAACUAGCAGUCUGACAAGCCUCUACUACUAAUAACUAGAGAGACACUGGGACAAACCUUCAAAAUAACUUGAACUGUCUGAAUUAUCUAUAGUAAUAAGCUAGAAAAUUGAAAGACCAAGUCCCCAAACUAUGAGGACUUACCAACUAUUGGGAUGUACCUGGAGAUGCUCAAAAUCACUAACACUGCUAGAAUUGAGCACCUAAACCUACAUUAUGAAACAAUGUAGUACAUAAAUGUAUAUGUGGAUCAGUAAUUUGAGAAUAUACUAAGCAUAUGGGGGUGAAUGCAUAAGUAAAAUAACAUCUCAAUGUCAUUGCAAUUUAUAAAAUAACGCAUGCUAAAUGUAAAUGACUCACAUAAGCUGGAAUAUCUGAAAGCUAAAAAUCAAAAUCAUGAUAAGUAAAUCAUACUUUAUAAAUCCAGUGAGACAUAACAUUUAGUUCAAAAAGAUGUACUAGUGUUCUAUCUGCAAAUCAUGCUGACUAAUAGUAGAAAGGACUCACUUUUAGAUACAAAAUUUGAAAGCCAAAAUCUGUAGCUAAAGGCUUAUAUAAAACAAUGUCUGAGUAAAACUGAGCCUUUACACUUAGUUUCUAAAAGUUGUUCUGUUAUUCUUUACUCUUUUCUGUAAGCUUUAGUAAAAAUAUACUUAAAAACUAUUUAUCACUUUUACUAUUAGAGAAAUACUCUUAAAAACUAUUCUGAAAGUCUUCACUGUUAGGCUGUAGGGAGGUUUUUCUAACCGACAUAAACUAUGUGACCUAUCAUGGAGUCCAACAUCUAGUUUCCUUUUGGGAAAGACUUACGUUGGGGAGAGAUGUCAUACUUUAUACUCUUGACAAAGAGUAUAACCUAAUCUAAGUGAUCAAUCUGUAUCUGUCAUCCAUAUAGAAAUGGAAAUAAUCUGAUAAUCUAAACCUACGUUGGAUCAUAGAUUUGAGGCAUGAGAACAUACUGAACUCGGUGCUAAAUACUACUCCCAUUAAUCUAUAUGCUCAUUCUGUUGGAAAUACAAUUAAAAAUAUAGUGUAAUGGUUCAUUAUGAAAACUAACUGUAUAAUUACUAAGUCAAAUUGAAAUCUGAAAUUGUAAAGUGGAUUCAAUGUCUAAGUUGAGAUCAAAGAUCAAAUCUUUAUAAAAAAUCUAAAAAUAAUCUAGCCAUGGGAUGCUUAAAAGUAUAAUCUUCUUGAAUGGCAAUAUCCAAUUAGGGAUUAAUACCCAUGCAUCAAAUUUAUGUCAGAUUAUAAUAAAAAUAAUUCUUUAUAAUGAAGAUAUUGACAAUUCAACUCAAAAUUUGGAAUUUACGAUAAAACGCAUGAAAAUACGAAAAUAGACAUGCAAUUCAACUUCUAGAUCACUUGAAAUCUCAUAAUCUUGUAAAUAAAAAUAAUGGAUAUGAACCCCAAUUUGAAACUUGUGUAUAUUCAUACAAAAUCUUGUAAAUUUGUAAUUUAAAACUAGUUUUGGGCACAAGGAUGAAACAAUAUCCUUGUUCAUAAACCCCACAUACCUUAAUUGAUGAAAUUGAAUAAAAGGCUUGAUCUUGGAUUCCUAUUUGAGCUUUCGAAGAUGACCUCUUGAAGUUCUUUAAAUGAGAAUCCUUAGUUUUAAGCUAUCUUGGAAAAAUAAUGGAGGAAAUUGGAUUUCAUGGAGGUUAAGUUUUGAGCUCUAGGGUUUUCUUUGAGAGAUAAUUGAUAAAAACGAAGCAUAGAGUGCUUAGAAUGAGCUAAAUCUUAUGUUAUACACGAUUGAGGGCUUGGGAAUUGACCAAAUACCCUUUUUAAAAUGUAACUUGGAAAAUUUGAAGUCGAUUUUGCCACCCACCGCGAUGCACCACCAUUGUGGUGGCUUACUAGAAAUUAACAACUGGGAACUAGAAAAUCAAUGCGAUGUGGAGCUAUCUCGGUAAGCCACUGAAAUUCCAUUUAGACCGUAACCCUAAUUUAGAACCAUUGUGUGGGGCUACUGUAUUCUGACAAUAGGGAAAUGGGAUUUCAAUGUGACUUGCCACAAUCACGGAGGUCCACUGCAAAUUGAGCUGACCUUUGACAUUCUAUGAGCUAAAUUGAGCUAGAAAAAAGUGCAGGGUAUUACAAUGUCAGUACAUGGAAUGUACUGGUAUGCUAAGUGAGUUAAGGAUGAUAUACAUGGGUUCAUAUACAUGAGUUGAUAACUGACUGAAUGGGCAUCGUGAAUUAACUGGAUGAGAGUACAUGCAAAACUAUAACUACAAAAUAUGCUAUGUUGCGUAUAUAGAUAUACAUCAUGUAUUUGAAAUUAUACUAAAAUUGAGUGCUGAAUUUUGAUGGUUGAGCAAUUGAUAACUAAUAGUUAUGGUUCUAUAGAACUGUUUGAGUUCUUUACUUAAUACUGAGACUGGAACUGUAACUGUGGGAGUGUUCAUCUAAUUAACAUACCCCGAUAUCGACUAAUUUGGGGUCGAACCUAUGACCCCACUUUGAAGAGUGCUAGCACCUUACCAUGGAAUACUAAUAAUGUUGGGUCAACACUAAUAUGGCAGGAAGACUUAUAAAGUGUAUAUAUAUGAUUACCUCAACCCUUGUCUGGAUGGAGGACGACUUACCCUACACUGGCUAUGUAGUUCUAUAAUGCGGGACUGCUACUAAGGGUAAAACCCUCUGCUGGUAGGAAUGCACCCAUCCCUGGGUUCGUUCGGUGCAGAAUCCUACUCCUAAUUGAAUCGACACUUAACUGACUACUAGAUUGUACUAGGCUUGACUGAACUAACACUAAUCGUGUUCACUAAUUGUACUAGACUGAGUUUACUGAGUUUUGUUAACAUACUGAGUACUACUGCUCUUAACCUUUACUGGGACUAGUCUAUAACUACUGCAACUAAUUAAACAACUAGAUUUUGGGUAAUAAAUGUCCCCAGAACUAGAUAUCAUAAUAGAUAAAACAAUGCGAAUCUUGAAAGCAUAGCAAUAGUCAAUUGUCCACUAUUCAAUUACUUAGACAUUUUGUCCAACAUUUGGAGGUCAUGAAUUUGUACAUAAAUGAGAAGAUAUGCUAUCAUGUCAUGAUAACACUAUUCAUUUCACAUGGACAUUCUAUCAAAUACUUGGGGAGCAUAAUUAAUGCACAUGAUAAUGAACAAGACAUAAGCAUUAUGAAAACUUAAACUUACAAUUUCAAGGGUUUUGGCUUGGGAAUUACAUCAAUCAACAUACAUGCUAUCUCAUAUUCAUAAGGUUAUUAUUAAAUCUGGAAUUGAAAACCCAUACAACAACAUAAACAUGAAUACAACCUAAUUUGCGCAUGUAAAUCAUAAAACUGAAAACUUGUAGUUUUAAAAAUGGUUCUUGAACUCCAAGGGUGGAAGGAAACCCAAGGAUGAACAUCUAACAUACUUGAGUGAUGAAAUUCGUAAAGACUGUUGGGGAUUUCUCAGAAUUUGAUCUUGAGCUUGAUGAACUAGGAUUUAUUUCUUGAGAGGAUUUUGCGAAUAAUGAAUGAAUUUUACCCUUUGGGGGGGUUUAAUUUCUUGUUUUAGCUGAAGUGGAUGAGGGGAAAAGGACCUAAUUGCCCUUGGAAAGUCAGAGUUUAAUGAACAAAAUAUACCUAGCGAUGAGGCAGGUGACAUACCGCGUUGAUGGUGUCGAUUUGAUGGUUGACGUGAAGCAUUAAUUCUAUCGAUGUGAUAGCCAAUGCGACGCACCCAAAUAGCGUUGGCUUGCUAUUUUGGUCAUCCAAACAUGAGCCAAACGGUGUCCAAAAAUUCUAAAACUCACCCAAUAUGUCCUAUUGACAUCCCUAAUCAUGAAUCAAAUUAAAAAUUUAUAAUCUAAGGUCAUAAGGAUCAUAAAUAGGAUCAUCCAAUUACGAAGGCUAAAAAUGAUUCUAAGUCUUAACACUAGCUGAAUUUUUCUAAGUCUAGGACCGCUUAUUACAAACUAUAUGGGACUGAAUUGAUCUAGAACUUUUAUGGGGUUUUAUAAUAUCUCCCCCUUGGGAACAUUCAUCCUCAAAUGAGACUGAUUGAAAUAGGUGGAACUGAGGAACUGUACUUACACUAACAUGCAUAACUGAAGCAUGACUGAAUUCUGGAGACAUGGCUUAUGACUCAACUAUUUCAUGAAUGCAUAAAUGAUAUGAGAAUGUUAUCCAGCUAUAACUGAGUAAGGAAUAUAGUAAAUCUAAGGUAGGUUGUUACCUUAUGUUGAGUCUGAGUUUGUGGAGAAGGGGUGAGGAUACUUGGUUCGCAUGUUUGCCUCUGCUUCACAAGUAGCUCCUUCAAUGGACUGAUUCCUCCGAAGAACUUUGACCAAAGGAAUUUAUUUGUUCCUUAGUCUACGAAUUUGAUGAUUAAGGAUUUUGCCUGGGACUUCCUCAUAAGAGAGACUAUUUUGAGCAUCUACACUCUCUAUAGGGACUACAACUGCUAGGUCACCUAUGCACUUCUUUAGAAAGGAGACAUGAAACACUGGGUGCACUAAUACGAAGUCUGUAGGUAAGUCAAGCUCAUAAGCUACCUUACCGAAACAACUUAGAAUCCUAUAAGAAACAAAAUAUUGGGGACUAAGCUUCCCCUACUUACGAAAUCUCUGCACCCCUUCAUGGGAGAGGUUUUCAAAUAUACAUAACCACUAAUCUCAAAUUCAAAAUCUUUCCUUCUCAUAUCUGCAUAAGAUUUCUGUCGGCUCUGGACUAUCUUAAUCCUCUCCCUGAUUAACUAUACUUUCUAUAAGGCAUCAAACACCAAGUCAGGCUCCACUACCGCGACCUCACCUACCUCAAACCUACCAAUGGGAGAUCUACAUCUUCUUCUAUAGGGAGCCUCAAAUGGAGCCAUCUAAAUACUCGAAUGAUAGCUGUUAUUAUAUGUGAACUCAAUAAAAGAUAAGUGGUCAUCCCAGCUACCCUUAAAUUUAACAACACAUACUCUCAACAUAUAUUCUAAAGUAUGAAUGGUACUUUCUGCUUGACUAUCUGUCUAAAGGUGAAAGGCUGUACUGAGGUAGAUUUGGGUACCAAGACCCUUUUGGAAGGCUUUCCAAAAAUGAGAGGUGAACUGCGUACCUCUAUCUGAAAUGAUGGACAAUGGGACAAUAUGUAGCCUAAUGAACUCACUGAUAUAGAGCUUAGCAUAGUCCUCGGCUAAAUAAGAGGUAUGAACUAGUAAGAAAUGGGCUGAUUUGGGCAGCCUGUCCACAAUAACCCAAAUCAAAUCAUGCUGACAAAGAGUAUGAGCCAAACCUAUUAUGAAAUCUAUGUUCACUUUCUCUCACUUCAAAGUGGAAAUACUAAACUCCUGUAUAGACCUACUAGGCUUCUGAUGUUCAUUCUUAACCUAAUGCCACGUUAAUCACUAAGCUGCAAACUCUGUAAUAUAUCUCUUUAUCCUACUCUACCAAUAGACUUCUCGCAAGUUACGGUACAUCUUAGUGGCCCCUGGAUGAAUAAAGUAAUGCGCACCAUGCAAUUCAUCAAGAAUUUACUGCCUCAGGCAAUCCAUACAUGGCACCGAUAGCCUACCCUAGCAACGCAACAUACCAUCUCCCCCUUGGGAGAAAAUCUUUACUUUUUGGUCUCUGACUGACACCUUCAGCUUAACUAAACUGGGAUCUCUAUCCUACUUUUCUUUUACCUUGAACUCUAAUGAAGAUUCCGAUCAAUUCUACACCCAUACACUACCCUUAGCCAAAUCAACUAGAUGGAUACCUAGUCUCGUAAUCAGAUGAACUUCCUGAACUAACUUCUUCUUACCAUCUUCAAUGUGUGCAAUACUACCCAUGGACAGCCUACUGAGCGCAUCUGCCACUAUAUUGGCCUUGUCGGGGUGAAAUAGAAUUCUCAUGUCAUAAUCCUACAACAACUCUAACCACCUUCUCUGAUGGAAGUUCAGGUUUUUUUGAGAUAAUACAUAUAGUAGGCUUUUUUCCUGUGAACACAUCAACAUGCACCCCAUACAAAUAGUGCCUUUAAAUCUUUAAGGCAACACAACUACUACUAAUUCAAGAUCAUGGGUGGGAUAUUUCAAUUCAUGGGGCUUAAGUUGUCUAGAGGAGUAGGAAAUAAUCUUAUCUCUCUGCAUCAAAACACACCCUAAACCAACUUUGGAAGCAUCACAAUAUACUACAAAUCCAUCUGAAUUAUCUAGUAAAGUCAAAAUUGGGGCUUUGGUGAGUCGAGUAUUCAACUCUAGAAAACUCUACUCUCAAGAAUCUGACCACUGGAACUUUACUUUCUUCUGAGUUAAUAUAGACAUAGGGGAUAAAACAGAUGAAAAAUCAUCAACAAAACAUUGGUAAUAGGCAGCCAAACCCAAGAAACUCCUAAUAUUAUAUGGAGAGAUGUGUUUGGGCUAGUUUCGUACUGCUUCAGUCUUUUGAGGAUCAUCUCUAAUGCCAUCACCAAAAACAAUAUGACCAAGGAAAACUACUGACCUUAGCUAAAACUUGCAUAUCUGAUGGGCUUUGAGAGUCUAUAAUUCUAUUUUGAAAUGGUCUGCAUGGUCAUUUUCACUAUGGGAGUAGAUAAUAAUGUCAUCGAUAAAGACUAUGAUAAACAUGUCCAAGUAUUGCUUGAACGCACGGUUUAUCAAGUUCAUGAAAGUUGCUGGGUCAUUGGUAAGAUCAAAUGACAUGACUAGAAACUCAAAGUGACCAGACUUGGUUCUAAAAGUUUUUUUUGGAAUGUAACAUUCUCUGACUCUGAGCUGAUGAUAACCUUAUCUAAGGUCUAUCUUAGAAAAGUAACUAACACCCUGAAGUUGGUAAAAAAAGUCAUCAAUUCUAGGAAGUGGAUACUUAUUAUUGACUUUGACUUUGUUCAACUGAUGGUAGUCUAUACAUAUUCUAAGAGAACCAUUUUUUUUUUGCACAAAUAAAAUUGGUGCACCCCAAGGGGAUAUGCUAGGCCUGAUGAACCCUUUGUCUAAGAGAUCCUUCAACUGUUCUUUCAGCUCUUUGAGUUUAUCUGGAACCAUUCUAUAUAAUGGAAUAGAGAUGGGUUGAGUAUCAGGAAGAAGGUCCCUUCUGAAGUCAAUUUCCCUUUUGGGAAUAACUCUAGGGAGAUCUUCGGGAAACACAUAUAGAAAUUCAUUUGCGACAGGAACUGACUCAAGAUUAGGAGUCUCAGAACUAGAGUCUUUGACCUGUACCAAAUGAUAGUCACACCCCUUCGAUAUCAUUUUGCUCGUUCUAAGGUAAGAAAUAAGUUGACCCUUAAGCGUUGUGGUACUACCCCUUCAUUCUAGGACAGGUUCAUUUUGGGAACUGAAAAUAAAUAGCUCUGUUUCUAUAAUAAACUGAGGCAUAACAUUAAUAGAGCUAAUCCAAGCUGAGAAUGACGGUAAAUUUUAUUAUCGCUAACUCUACUAAGUCUGCUAAAGUAACUUUCCAGACUCUAUAAUCGGACAGUUCCUGUAAACUCACCGAGCUAUGAUAGAGUUACCCACCGGGGUACAAGCUUAGAAAGGCUCAGUUAGGAUUUAGGGACUGACUCUGAAGUUGAUGGCUAUGUAAAGGAUUACAAAAUAUAGAAAAUUUCCUAGAUAUAAUAAAGCAUAAACAUGUAAAUGGUAAACUUGUAAAGUACCAGUGGCCACAUCAGGAGAACUUUCCUGAUCCUGCCAGGACUUGAGUUCCUAGAGCAUGUUUGGAUGAUUAUGUUGACUUUGUGAACCCACUUGAGGAUAUUUUCUGAUUCUAUGACCUAGUUUUCCACACCUAAAAUAUACAUUACAGUCAGCCCUACAGACACCAUGAUGAUUUUUGCCAUAUUUCUGGCAGAGAGGAUUUGUUCGAGCACUGCUAACACUAGCCUAAGAUUUAGAGUGUGUUGCCGUAUUCUUAUUAUCAUUUUUUAAUUUAGGCACUGAGCACUAGCUGAAGAAGGAGCUGGGACUAAAGACUUUAGGCAGAAAUGAGGAUGAUUACCACCUUUAGCUUAUGCUGAGUAAACUUGAAGCUACCCAUUCUAUCCCUCUUUUUCUCCCUCUCUUUUUUCUUAGUCUUUUUUUCCUUAAUCUAUUGGGAAUGGACCAUCAACCUCACUAGACCUAUCUUUUUAAUCAACAUUGUAGUCCUACACUCAUUGACUACACUGUCAGACACACCAGACACAGACUUGCUUAUCAUAAACCUGCUAUCAAUUACUACAUGGGGAGCAUACCUGGCCAACUAAGUAAACUUUAGAGAAUACUCCUUCACUAUCAUGCUGCCAUGCUUCAAGUUAAUGAACUCUAAAAGCUUAUAUUCCCUCAACUCCAACAGUAAAAACAUAUCUAGAAAGGCGGUAGCGAACUUCUCCCAUUCUAUAGGCCCUACAUCUACGACCCUAUCUACCUUUCACUACUUAAACUAUGUAUGAGUCAUAUCCUGCAACUCAUAGGCAGCUAACUAAACAUACUCACUAGCAGUUACCCCAAUAAUGUUUGUUACUUUCUGCACCAUGACAAGGGAUUCCGGUGGGUUCUCUUCAGACUUAGACCUAGAAAAUGAAGGAGGGUUCAUUUGGGUGAAGUACCAAAUUCUAGCUGUAGUAGUAUUGGCCACUAGGUUGGCCUGAAUAACAGCUGGGCAUUAAUUUUGAGCUGCCAUAAAAUGGGUUAAAGUGGUGAAAGCUGCUCAAAAUUCUGCGUGGGAGACAUACUCAUUCAGGGGAUAUUCCUAAACGGGCGAAGGUGAUGGCUGGCUCCAAGUUCUUUUUCCAUUGGUCUUUUUGGGAGGCAUGUUCUGUAAAUGAAAGGAAAAAUUAGAAUAGACAGAGAGUUUAACUUGAGCUCAUGCUCACUCGCAAGAUAUGAAUACUGAAAGAAGGGAACAUUUUCCUAAAAUGCCUCAUAGAUUCUUGUCCAUAAGUGUGGUGUGCUACACGCCCAUGCGCAAGACUCUAUUUGAUGCAGUUUUCAGACUCCCUUAGAAUUUUAGAACCUUAGGCUUUGAUACCAAGUUUGUAACACCCUGAGACUACACUCUGGGCAUCACACGAUCUUAUGACCCCAAAGGACCACAAGCUAACCCAUGAUCGGUACCUUCUGUGAGCAUUGAAUAUAAUACUGAAAUAUAUAUAUGCGAAAGAAUACUAAAGAUAUCAUAAGGUUCUCAAAAUACUGAAAUCUUAGGAACUGAGUAUAACUAAUAAUAACAUCUGAAAACUAAAUAACUGUCUAUGCUAGUUUGAAAGCCUCUAACUAUCUGAAUAUGGAGUUGAUGUGACAAACCCCCAACUAAUGCCAACUGAAAUAACUACUAAACUGUUGAAAUAUCGAAAUAAGUAAACUCUGUCCUAGAAAUAUAAGGACUCACCACUAUAACUGCUGUUGAUAGCCUAAGAUGCUAUGUACAGUUAGGAACUUGAUCAUCCAAACAUAUUAUAUAAGACAUCAUAGAGCAAAUAAAGAGUAUGCAUUAGUAUGCGGAAUGUACUGGUAUGCUAAGUUAGGUAAGCUGAUAUACAUGGGUUCCUAUGUAUAAGCUAAUAACUGACUGAAUGAACAUCGUAAAGUAACUGGAUGAGAGUACAUUCAAAACAGUAACAACUAAACAUAUUGAAUAUGCUAUACUGCACAUAUAAAUAUACAUCGUGUAUCUGAGAUUAUACUAAAAUUGAAUGUUGAAUUUUAAUGGCUGAGUAACUGAUAAGUAAUAGCCAUGGUUCUGUGUAUUUUUCUGAGUUCAUUACUGAAUACUGAGAGUGGAAAUGUAACUAUGGGAGUGUUCAUCUAAUUGACAUACCCCGAUAUAGACUAAUUUAGGGUCGAACCUGUGACCCCAACUGGAAGGGUGCUAGACCCUUUCCAUGGGAUACUAAAAAUGCUGGUUCAACCCUAAUCUGGAAGGAAGACUCAUGAAGUAUAUAUUUAUGAUUGCAUCAACCCUAGCAUGGCAGGAGGACAACUUACCAUAUGCUGGCUAUGUAGUUCUGUAAUGCAGGGACUGCUACUAAAGGUCAAACCCUCUGCUGGCACGAAUACCCCAAUCCCUGAGUUCGCUCGGUGUGGAAUACUACUCAUAGUUGAAUUGACACUGAAAUGAUUACUAGAUUGUACUAGGCUUGACUAAACUGACACUGAUCAUGUUGACUGACUAUACUGGGCUGAGUUCACUGAGUUCUAUGAACUAAAUGAGUACUACUAUUCUUGACCUUUACUGGGACUAGUUAAUAACUACAACAACUAAGUUAAUAUCUAUAUUUUGGGUAAUAAAUACCCCCAGGACUAGAUAGCAUAAUAGAUAAAACAUAGCAAAUCUUGAAAGUAUAGCAAUAGUCAAUUGUCCACUAUUCAAUCACUGAGACAUUUUGUCAAAUAUUUAGAGGUCAUGAAUUUGUACAUGAAUGAGAACACAUGCUAAAAUGUCAUCAUUACACUAUUCAUUUCACAUGGACAUUCUAUUAAACACUUGGGGAGCAUAAUUAAUGCACAUGAUAAUGAACAACACAUAACCAUCAUUACUACAACUUAAACUUUCAAUUUCAAGGGUUUUGGCAUAGGAAUUACAUCAAUCAACAUAUAUGCUAUCUUAUGUUCAUGUACUUGUAAUUAAAUCUUGAAUUGAAAACCCAUACAACAACAUAAAUAUGAAUACAACCCAAUUUGUGCAUUGAAAUCAUGAGACUAAAAACUUGUAGUAUUAAAAAGGGUUCUUGUACUUCAAAGGAGGAAGGAAACCCAAGGAUGAACACCUAACAUACCUGAGUGAUGAAAUUCGUGAAGAUUGUUGGGGAUUUCUUUGAACUUGAACUUGAUGAACUAGGGUUUAUUUCUUAAGAGCAUUUUGAGAAUAAUGAAUGAAGUUUUCCUUUUUUGGGGUUUAAUUUCCUCUUUUGGCUUUAAUUGUGUAAGGGAAAAUGACCUAAUUGCCAUUGGAAAAUUCGAGUUUAAUCAGAAAAUUAUGCCCAGCAAUGUAGUAGGCGACUGCACCAUAUUAAUGGUGUCGAUGUGAUAGCUGACACACCGCAUCGAUGCUGUUGAUGCGAUAGCUAACGCGAUGCAUCCAUAUAGCUUUGUCUUGCUAUUUUUGUCAUCCAAACAUGGCCCAAAUAAUGUCCAAAAAUUUUGAAACUCAUCCAACAUUACUUAUUUACAUCCUUAAUCAUGAAUAAAUUUAAAAAUUGACAAUCUAAGGUCGUAAUAAUCGAAAAUAAGAUCAUCCAAUUAUGAAGGCUAAAAAUGAUUCUAAGUCUUAAAACUUAGCUAAAUUUUUCUAAGUCUGAGACCCCUUAUUACAAGCUAUAUGGGACUGAAUUGAUCUAAACUAUUAUAAGGUCUUACAAUAUCUUCCCCUUGGAACAUUCGUCCUUGAAUGAGACUGGCUGAACUAAGAGGAACUGAGGAAAUGUACUUACAUUAACAUGCAUAACUGAAGCAUGACUGAAUUCUGGAGAUAUGACUUAUGACUAAAUUGUUUCAUGAAUGCAUGAAUGAUAUGAGAAUGUUAUGCAGCCGUAACUGAGUAUGGAACAUAGCUAAUCUAAGGUAGGUUGUUACCUUGUGCUGAGUCUAAAUUUGCAGAGAAGAGGUGAGGAUACUUUGUUUGCAUGUCUGCCUCUACUUCCCAAGUAGCUCCCUCAAUGGACUGAUUUCACCAAAGAACUUUGACCAAAGGAAUUACUUUGUUCCUUAGUCUGCGAAUCUGACAAUCAAGGAUUUCGACAGGGACUUCCUCAUAAGAAAGACUGUUUUGAACAUCUACACUCUCUAUAAGGACUACAACUGCUAGGUCACCUAUGAACUUCUUUAGCAAGAAUACAUGAAACACUGGGUGCACUGAUGCUAAGUCUGCAUGUAACUCAAGCUCAUAAGCUGCCUUACUUAAACGAUUCAGAAUCCUAUAAGGACCUACAUAUCGGGGACUAAGCUUCCCCUUCUUACAAAAUCUCUUCAUCCCCUUUAAGGGAGAGAAUUUCAAAUACACAUAACCACCAAUCCCAAAUUCAAGAUCUUUCCUUAUCACAUUUACAUAGGAUUUCUAGCGGCUCUGGGCUAUCUUAAACCUCUACCUGAUCAACUGUACUUUCCCUAAGGAAUCAAACACCAAGUCAGGCUCAACUACCAUAGCCUCACCUACCUCAAACCAACCAAUGGGAGAUAUAUAUCUUCUCCCAUAAAGAAUCUCAAAUGGAGGAAUCUUAAUACUAGAAUGAUAGCUAUUAUUAUACACGAACUCAAUCAAAGGUAAGUGGUCAUCCCAAAUACCAUUAAAGUUAACAACACACGCUCUCAACAUAUCUUUUAAAGUAUGAAUGGUCCUUUUUCCUUGACCAUCUUUCUGAAGAUGAAAGGCUAUACUGAGGUGGACUUGAGUACCAAAACCCUUUUGGAAGGCUUUCCAAAAUUGAGAGGUGAACGUCGUACCUCUAUCUUAAAUUAUUGACAAUGAGACACCAUGUAACCUAACAAAAUCUCUGAUAUAGAGCCUGACAUAGUCCUCAGCUGAAUAAAAGGUAUGAACUUGCAAAAAAAUAGGUUGAUUUGGUUAUCCUUUCCUCAACGACCCAAAUCAAAUCAUGCUAACGAUGUGUACGAGGCAAACCUGUCACAAAAUCCAUGUUCACUUCCUCCCACUUCUAAGUGGGACUACUGAACUUCUAUAUAAACCCACUAGGCUUCUGAUGUUCAAUCUUAACCUGUUGACAUUUUGAGAACUUAGCUAUAAACUAUGCAAUAUCUCUCUUUAUCUCAGUCAACCAAUAGACUUCACACAAGUCGCGGUCCAUUUUAGUGGCCCCUGGAUGAAUAGAGUAACGCACACCAUGUGCUUCAUCAAUAAUUCACUAUCUCAUACCAUCCACACAUGGAACAGAUAGGUUACCCUAGAAACAUAACACACCAUCUCCCUCUUGGGAUAAAACCUCUAAUUUCCAGUCUCUAACUAACACUUUUAGCUUAACUAAACUAUGAUCUUUGUCCUGCUUUUCUUUCACCUCAAACACUAAUAAAGACUCUAAACUAUUCUGCAUCCAUACACUACCCUUAGUUGAAUCAACCAGAUAGAUACCUAGUUUGGCAAGCUAAUAAACUUCUUGAACUAACUUCUUCCUACCAUUCACAAUGUGAGACACACUACCUAUGGACAACCUACUAAGGGCAUCUAACAGAACACUCAUGUCCUAGUCCUUCAACAACUCUAACUACCUUCUCUGAUGCAUGUUCAUGUAUUUUUAAGAAAAUACAUACUGCAGGCUUUUUUGGUCUAUGAACACAUCAACAUGCACCCCAUACAAAUAGUGCCUCUAAAUCUUUAAGGAAAACACAACAAUAGCUAAUUCAAGAUUAUGGGUGGGAUAAUUAUUUUCAUGGGGCUUAAUCUGUCUAGAGGCAUAGGCUAUAACCUUACCACUCUACAUCAAAACACACCUUAAACCAACUCUGAAAGCAUCACAAUAUACUACAAAUCUGUCUGAACCAUCGGGUAAAGUAAAAACUGUGGCUGUGGUGAGUUGAGUCUUCUCCUAAAAACUCUUCUCACAAGAAUUUGACCAUUGGAACUUGACGUUAUUUUGAGUCAAUCUAUACAUAAGGGAUGAACUAGAAGAAAACCCUUCAACAAACCAUUGGUAAUAGCUAGCCAAACAUAAAAAACUCCUGAUAUCUGAUGGAGAGAUAGGUUUAGGCCAGUUUCUCACUACUUUGGUAUUUAGAGGAUCAAGUCUAAUUCCAUCAUCGAAAAUAUUAUGACCAAGGAAAGAUACUAACCUUAGCCAAAAUUUGCAUUUAUUGAAUUUAUUGAACAACUGAUGGGCUCUGAGAGUUUGUAAUAAUAUUCUAAGAUAGUCUACAUGGUAAUUUUUACUGUGGAAAUAUAUACGAAUGUCAUCAAUGAAGAGUAUCACAAACAUGUCCAAGUACUACUUGAACGCACAAUUCAUCAAGUCUAUGAAAUUUGUUGGGGCAUUGGUAAGAUCAAAUGACAUGACUAGAAACUCAAAGUGAUUAUACCGGGUUCUAAAAAGCUAUUUUUAGAAUGAUAUAUUCUAUAACUCUGAGCUGGUGAUAGCUUGAUCUGAGGUCUAUCUUAGAAAAGUAACUGGCACCCUAAAGUUGGUAAAACAAGUUAUCAAUUCUAGUAAGUGGAUACUUAUUCUUGACUAUGACUUUGUUUAACUGAUGGUAGUCUAUACAUAUUCAAAAUGAAUCAUCUUUCUUUCGCACGAAUAGAACUGGUGCAUCCCAAGGGGAUACGCUGGGCCUGAUGAACCCUUUGUUUAAGAGGUCCUUCAACUAUUAUUUCAACUAUUUAAGUUUAGUUGGAGCCAUUCUGUAUGGUAGAAUAGAGAUGGGCUAAGUAUCAAGAAGAAGGUCUAUUCUGAAGUCAAUUUCCCUUUCAGAAGGAACACUGGGGAGAUCUUUGAGAAACACAUCUGGAAAUUCAUUUGUGAUUGGAACUCAAGAUUGGGAUUCUCAGAACUAGAGUCUUUUACUUAUACCAAAUGAUAUACAAACCCUUUGGAUAUCAUUUUUCUCGCUCUAAGGUAUGAAAUAAGUUGACCCUUAGGUGCUGUGGUACUACCCCUCAAUUCUAGGAUAGGUUUGUUCAAGAAUUGAAAAUAGAGAACUCUGUUUCUAUAAUCAACUUAGGCAUAGCAUUAAUGGAUCCAAUCUAUGCUAAGAACGAUGUCAAAAUCUGCCAUUUCUAACUCUACUAAGUCUGUUGAAGUAACUUUUUAAGACACUAUAAUCGGAUAGUUCUUGUAUACCCACCAGGCUAUGUUAGACUUAUCUACUAGGGUAGAGACUGAGAAAGGCUCUGUUAGGAUUUCGGGGGCUGACUAUGAUGUUGAUGGCUAUAUAAAGGGUUACAAAAGAUAGAGAAGCUCAUAGAUGUAACAAAGCAUAAACAUAUAAAUGGUAAACUUGUAAUGUACCAGUGACCACAUCAGGAGAACUUUCCUAAUCCUGUCAGGAUUGGAGUGCAUAGUUCCUAUUUAGUCAUUGUCUACUAGUGGCACUAGAAGCUGCACCCUAGUGAGAUAGGUGAUCAGACUGAGCUAGGGGACGAUUAUACUGACUCUAUGAACCCACCUGAGGACACUCUCUGAUUUUAUGACUUGGUUUGCCACACCUAAAAUAUACAUCACUGCUAGCUCUAUAGACACCCUGAUGAUUUUUGCCACAUUUCUGGCAGAGAGGAUUUGUUCGAGCAAUACUAACACUACCUUUAGAUUAGAAGUGUGGUGCCCUAUCUUUAUUAUCAUUUUUAAAUUUAGGCAUCGAAGUACUAGCUGAGGACGGAGCUGGGAAUGAUGACUUUAGGCGAAACUGAGGAUGAUUACCACCCUCUCACUUAGACUGAGUGAAGUAAAGUACCCUUCUCUGACUUAGGCUGAGUGAAGUUGAAGCUACCUUUUCUAGCAUUCUUAUUCUCCCUCUCUUUCUCCUUAGUCUUAUAUUCCUCAAUCUAUUAAGCAUAGACCAUCAACCUAGCCAAGUCCAUCUGCUUAAUUAGCAUUGCGAUUCUACACUCCUUGACCACACUGUUAGACACACCAGACAUGAACUUGCUCAUCUUAGACCUGCUAUAAAAUACCACAUGGGAGCAUACCUGGCUAACUGAGUAAACUUGAGAGAAUACUCCUUCACUAAUAUGCUGCCCUUCUUCAAGUUAAUGAACUCUAAAACCUUAGCUUCCAACAGUUUCAAUGGCAGGAACUUAUCUAGAAAGGCAGUAGUGAAUUCCUCCCAUUCUAUAGGCCCUACAUCAGCGCCCCUAUCUACCUUCCACUGCUUAAACCAUGUAUAAGACACAUCCUAUAACUAAUAGGGAGCUAAAUCAGCCCUCUUACUAGAGGUUACCCCCAUAAUUUCUUUUACCUUCUGCACCAUGUUAAGGAAUUCCUAUGGGUUCUCUUCAGACUUACACCCUGAAAAUGAGUGAGGGUUCAUUCGAGUGAAGUCCCGAAUUCUAGCUACAGUAGUAUUGCCACUGGGUUGGCCUGAAUAGUAGCUGGGCAUUUAUUUUGAGCUACCAAAGAAUGUGCUAGAAUGGUGAAAACUGCUCUAGACACAUCCUGUAAUUAAUAGGCAGCUAAAUCACCACUCUUACUGGCGGUUACCCCCAUAAUGUAUUUUACCUUAUUCACCAUGUCAAGGAAUUUCUAUGGGUUUUCUUCAAACUUAGACCAUGAAAAUGAAUAAGGGUACAUUUGAGUGAAGUCCCAAAUUCUAAAUACAGUAGUAUUGACCACUGGGUUAGGCUGAACCACAGUUGGGCAUUUAUUUUGAACUGCCACAGAAUGUGCUAGAGUGGUGACAACUGCUUUGAAUUCUGCGUGAGAGACUUGCUCAUUCAGAGGAUCUUCUUAAAUAGACAAAGGUGCUGGCUGGGUCCCAGUUCUUUUGACGUUGGUCUUUUUGGGAGGCAUGUUCUGUAAAUGAUAGAAAUAAUUAGAUCUGAGAGAGAGUUUAACUGUUGUGAGCAUUGAAUAUAAUACUGAAAUAUAUAUAUGCGGAAUAAAUCUGAAAAUGACAUAAGGUUCUCAAAAUACGAAAAUAAUAGUAACAUAGUAUAACUGAUAAUAACAUCUAAAGACUGAAUAACUAUCUAUGCUAGUCUGAAAGCCUCUAACUGUUGAAAUAUAGAGUUGAUAUGACUAACCCCCAACUAACUUUAGAUUAAAUAACUACUGAACUGCUAAAAUACCAAAAUAAGUAAACUCUGUCCUUGAAAUAUAAGGACUCACCACUAUAACUACUACUGAUAGCCUUAGAUGCUAAGUAAGGUCAGGAACCUGCAUGUCCAAACAUAUUAUAUGAGUCAUCAUAAAGCAAAGAAAGAGUAUGAAUCAGUAUGCAGAAUGUAGUAGUAUGCUAAGUUAGGUAUGACUGAUAUACACGGGUUCAUAUGCAUGAGCUGAUAACAAACUAAAUGAACAUCAUGAAGUAACUGGCUGAGAGUACAUGCAAAAUUGUAACUACUGAACAUAAUGAAUAUUCUAUACUACGCAUAUGGAUAUACAUCAACUAUCUAAGAUUAUACUAAAAUCGAGUGCUAAAUUUUGAUGGCUGAGUAACUGAUAACUAAGAGCCAUGGUUCUGUAGAAGUGUCUGAGUUCUUUACUGAAUACUGAGGUUGAAACUGUGAUUGUGGUAGUGUUCAUCUAACCGACAUAAACCGAUAUAGAAUAAUUUGGGGUCCAACCUGAGACCUCAAUUGGAAGGGUGCUAGCACCUUUCCAGGGGAUACUAACAAUGCUAGGUCAACCCUAAUCUAGAAGGAUGACUCAUGAAAUAUAUAUAUAUAUGAUUGCGUCAACCCUAGUCUGGUAGGAGGAAAACUUACCUUACACUGGCUAUAUAGUUCUAUAAUGCAGGGAAUGCUACUAAGGGUCCAACCCUCUGUUGGUAAGAUGCCCCGAUCUCUGAGUUUGAUCGAUGAAGAAUCCUACUCUCAAUUGAAUUAACACUGAACUGACUACUAGAUUGUACUAGGCUUGAUUGAACUGACACUGAUCGUGUUGGCUGAUUGUACUGGACUAAGUUCACUGAGUUCUAUUAACUGAUUGAGUACUAAUGUUGUUG